rnacentral:lncRNA from 1 species
CCUCAAGAUUCUUCAUGCUGGUAAGACUCUUGAAAACUUAUAUCGAAACUGAAGGAAAUGGAGGUGAACAUUAGAAACGCUUUAGUGGGCCUUUUCAAAUGUGUUGGAUGUCUGGAGGUGGUGACAGGGGAAAGGAAGCCUGGAACAGAUUAGAACUUUUGGUCAAAUAGAAGUCUAGUGCUGGGAAAUCCCAAAGCUCUUGAUGACACAGAGGCUCUGCUUAGAAUAGCCAGCAUAGUUCUAAGAACCUGGCCCUUACUAGUGACAGGGCUUGAGCCCUGGCAGGAUGGUGAAUGGGAGCAAAGUAAGUGUGGAGUUGGCCACGUAUUGAUUUUGGGAAGGUUUAUACAAACUUUCAUGGGGAGGUAAAGCCCAUCAUCCUUCAAUUCACAUAGGAGUAUUUCCUUUUCCUGGGAAGUUACUAAUGGUGUGCAAUAAAUAUUUCAAGCCCAAGCAUGAAUCGGGGAGCAAUGAAACUGACCCAAGAUCCAUACUGUUGGUGACCAACCAUGCAUCAAACAUUGCUCCUGUGAGAAGAGUCCUAGGUAGUUAAAAUAUGAACUUGAACUUGCUGAACAGAUAGGAUUUACCCUGGAAAUUCAGAUUGUUGUCAACACGCAGCAUGUGUACCUCUGGGUCAGUGAGUCAGAAGGGUUCUCUCUAAAGUUAAGUCAGUGGCUAACGGCAUGAGUUUACGGGUCAGACUUCCCAGGGUUGCAUCCAAAAUUGACUGCUUGGAUUCCCAUCCCAGGUAAUCCCAGGCAAAUUACUCAACCUCUCAAGCCUCAUCAUCUUCUCCUGUAACAAUAUAAUAAUAGAAAAAGAGUGGUGAUAAUAGCACUUACACUAUGGGCUGCCGUGAAUAUUUAAAGGGAAUUAUCAGUAGAAGGUGCAUGGGCAGAUCUGAGAAUUAGAGAGUGCUCACUAAAUGCCCCCUGAUUACUGUUGGCUGCAUUGUCCAGCCUGGUUGAGAAUAUGGAUUUACUAAAAAUAUAGAGUUGGGUGUGACUAGUUUUCGAUGGAGUUUCAGCUUCACCACUGAGCAGCUUUGUAACCAGGAGCAAAUGACUUCAACUCUUAGAGCUUCAGCCUUCUUAUCUGUAAAAUAGUGAUAAUAAUAGUACUUACGUUAGUGAGAAAAUAUGCUCCAAGUGCUUGGGAGAGUUUGUAGCAGUUAGCUAUUCUAAUGAUGGUCAUGAUCUGGGUCACUAUUAAUAUUCAUUGGUUCCCUAAUAUCCAAACAUAUCCCGAAGACAGGCUGAAACACGGUAAGCCUGGUAUACGAGGCAUGCGUGGCAUACGCAGUAUAAAGACUUUUCACAUAAAUGAUUUGAUCAAACGGCCGUAAAUUGGGUUUGGGUUGUCAUGAAAGUCCUCUGAUGGUCUAGGGACAAGGUGCAGGCUCAAGGAAGAUUGUGGGGGAGGACCCAUUGGCCUUUCCCCGCUGGCCUGGGACCUCCUCCAGCCCCACAGCCCUCUGUGCUGAACCCAGAGGUGACAUGUGUUCUGGCUCCUUUGAUUGUCUCCUUCAGAAUCAUGGGGAUCCUGGAGUCUUGCUUUCCCAUCUUCCUUCUGCCAACUUCUGUUAUUCUUGUUUCCUGUCGAGCUGCUCGACAUUUGGAACAUGUGAUUACCGUACCACCUCGUGUUCUGGGUACAAUGUAAGCCCCUGUCUCAUUCUCUUUAUCAGCAAGAAGACAGAAACGAUGUCUUCUGGAAGGGAAAGGGGCCUUUAGUAUCUGGCCCGGUCUCUCUUCUUAGUUUGUGGAGCUGCACUCCAUUUCCUACCAUUAACAGAUUUGUUUACCUAUCUGAUAUUCCCCAGAUUGAGUUGCCAGGCAUCCAGGGUGAUGGGGCUUGACAAAGCUCUUUCCCUAGUACUUGCUACCCACAUCCUUUCACUUCUGCUAACUCCCUCACAAUGAACAGAAGGGAGCUUCUCUCCUGAGAUCAGGAAUUAUAAGAACAUGUGUUAUAGAUAUCAGUGGUGCAUCAUUUAGCAUAAAUUGUGAUAAGGCCGAGGUGUUUCUUCCACUCAAUUUCUUCAGAACUGAAGGCCUCUUCUCCCAAAGAAGCCAGAUUGGAAGGUUUGGCUUUCCUUCCACUUUCCCAUGUGCCCAGNNNNNNNGGUGCGGGGGCAGGGGCACGCGGGGAGGGUGGCACUGGAGAAUAAAUAACACGUGUAACUCAAGCCCUGUAUUCAUAGGAUCUUUCUUAUGAAAGGCUAUGGGAUCCCUUCAUCCAACCUUUUCAUUUUACUGAUGAGGAAGGCGAGAAGGAUGGUGACAGCUGGAUUCUGGCCGAGUCAAGACAGGGGCCCAGUCCUCCCAACUCUCAGGCCACCACUCUUUCCUCUUUAUUAUUAUUAAUACUUUCAAAGUAGGCUCUACUCCCAAUGUGGGGCUUGAACUCACAACCCUGAGAUGAGGACUGUACUGACCGAGUCACCCUGGCACCCUACCACUCUUGCCUCUUUAGAGCCCUUAUUGCCUUCCAUGCUCAUGGCUGGAGUGGAUUCUCCUUGGUGACUUUUUUGACUGUUCUAGGCAGCGAGCACUCAUUUGGGGUGAGCCCAACUUGUUCUCUUACUCUUCAGCUUUGGCUAUUGUUUGGUCUUUCCAGUGUAUGCCACCCACUACAGACUUAAAGAUUUCCCCCAGUGGCUUAUAGUCAGGACAGAUGCUUAUUUGGGGUGAAGGAUCGAGAUGCCUAAAUUCAGCUGGCAGAAGGUGAAGUCACUGCAUGUUCUCUCAGUGGAUAGGGCCCAGAACCCAAGUCCCAGUAGGAAGGCUGCCUCUGAGCUAGAUCAGAAACCAAGCAGGCCUUAGAGUCUGAGGCCCACCUACUGCCCUCCCCCUCCAGCAGCCUGAGUCCUGCAAGGCUAGUCCAAGAGUGCCCUGAUGCUUUUCAUACAUGGUCAUGGUAGGUUGAGUCAAAGAGUGGUAUUAGGAUCAUGUCCCAGGAAAAACUGAUAUUGAACUGCAAUGAUAUCUACAGAGUAGAUGGCCAAAGACAGGGCCCUGCAGGGGAUGUUGGGAAUCAAGGUACAAAAGGCUGUCAGAGAACCAUAGAAGGGCUCCUGGAGAAUGUUGGUUUGAGCAGGACUGUCUCUUCUUGGCCAAGACAACAUGGGCAUCUCGCUUUGAGUUCUUUGAGGGAAAUGUUAUUCUCCCCAUCGUAAAGGCCAUGAAAGUGAAACUUGGAGUGUCCUUAGCCAAAGUUACAAAGCCAGUGUCAGAGUCAAGACUGGAACCCACGUGCUCAGACUCUGAAGUCUGUGUUCUAUCCAGGUCACCACGCUGAAAUUUAGAAAAGCCUGUCAGCAUUCACCAGAAAACUCUGAUUGCCAGUAUGGUGUGGCAUUCUGUCAUCAUAUGGUCAAAGAGCAUCCAGUCCAACUCUAAAUAAAUCGGCUUCCUUUGCCAUAUGCCCUGAAGAGGGUUCUUAGGGACUCUACUGGGGACAGUGAAGGAGGAUGGGCACAGGUGACACACUGUCUGUACUCAACCCCCAUCCUCCCCCAACCAUCUCUUCAACCAGAAAUGCUCUGUUCUAUGGGUUGGAAGCAUGUGUUUGAAAAGGGUUCCCAUAACCUCUGUUCCCCCACAUGCUGCAGCUUCUGGUUCAACAUCUUGUAUAAAAGGAAACUCACAGGGCUCCAGGAUCCUCCAGGGCUGAGCACCACAUAGGCUGGGUGGUGCCCAUAGUAUUGUCUUCUUGGUUGAAAAGCCCUCCAGCAGUCUUUCUAUUCCUUAGACAACUGAACAGCUGUAGAGUUCUGCUCAGUUGGAGGAGGGGUGUUUGGUUGUUUCUCCUUUACCUGGGUUCCUUCAUAUAUCCUCGCUUGUAUCACCCUAGCCAACCCCAUGUGCAUGUAGAGAAAUGCAAACAAUUCUGUUAUCUUCUGAUAUUCUGAGGCCAAGAGUUCUCAUUCUGACCAUGUCUGCACAAGUUAUCAGUGAUUUCAGAAUCUCUUUGAUGCCUUCUAAUAUUAUCUCCUAUAGAUGUGCCCUAGUUAGCAGGCAUCAUGAGGGAAUAAGGGCAUAGUUCUGGAUAAAAGAGUUCAGUUAACUAAGAGUAUAACUCUUUCAGCCCCAAAGAGUUUUAAAAUUUGUGAGCAUUUGCAACCCAAGUUUUUCCAUGUAGAUCACAUGGGCCUCACAGACUAUCACAAAUGAUACCUUUCUGUGCUGGUGCCAUCCGCUUGUAUGGGACCGUGGUAGUCAUGAAGGUGGGAGCAGGGUUGUCUGAUGGCUCCAAUGACAGCCCCUCCUGCUCUACUGUCACAUUGGUGUCACCGCCAUGUUUUCCAUGGGCUGCACCCAGCCAACGACUAAGCAUGAUGGAGUUCCUGGGCAUGGCUGGACACAGGACUCCUCAACUGGGAGAUGUUGGCUCCAGAUCUCCCCUCGGCCAGGCUGACGCCUUCUGAGAACUGGCCCGCAGUCUGGGACUCUUCCUAUUUAACUCCUCCUUCACAGGAGUCAGACACACAACACGAAUCUGAGGGCUCUCCCCGCCUUCGCUGGGUCACUCUUUUUCCCUUCACAGGUAUUGUCCUCCAUCAGUCCCUUGACAUCUAACCCUGGCAUGGCGUCUGCUUCUCAGAGGACCUGAACAAACACAGGAGCCUCUACCCUGCUCUCUUUUAAAGUCGGUCUCACCCACCCCCAGCUGUUUCCUGGAGGAAAUGCAUGUGCUCACAGAUGUGGGUUACCCAACACCACUCCUGUCCCCCCCGCUCCUGCUCCCGCCCUGGCUUCCCGGAGAGAUGCCUGCACCACAGUCUCUGAUGUUCCCAAAGCCUCACGAAGUCCCCUCCUUAUUGCGCCACAUCUGCUCCUAUCUGUGGGCCCCCUGACGCCCACUUCUGCUGACGCCGUGGGACUCAUAAUACACCAGAACCCUGCGCUUACCUGAGGUCAUGCCCACUGCAGACAAAAGUAGCCAGGCCUGUCUGCUCAGACGAGUGCCUCACCCUUACCUCACUAUAAGGGUCCCUGUGGACAGCUGCCUUGUGCUGCCAUUGUCACAUCUGACUUUUUGUGAGAAGAGGUCAUUUCGUUUUUACCCAUAGUCUCCUUUCCAUUGUUUUGUUGUUGUUGUUUUUAAUAACAACCAAAAUUUAUUUGCUGUUUUAGAAGGUUAACCUCCAAUUGUUUAAAAACAUAUUUAUUUAUUUUUGGAGAGAGAGAGGUGGGGGGAGGGGCUGAGAGGGAGAGAGAGAAUCCCAAGCAGGCUCCAUGCUGUCAGCACAGAGCCCUACAUGCGGCCUGAUCUCACGAACCUUGAGAUCAUGACCUGAGGCGAAACCAAGAGUUGGACGGUCUGACUGAGCCACCCAGGCGCCCCUCCUUUCCUCUGACCUUAGUCUCAAUCCUCAGCUAAAGGACCAGCUCUGUGACAGAGUCCUAUGUAUAAAAUUGUGCUUCCUUUCUUACACUGGGAGGGCCUGACUCUCUUAUCUCUUCAGAUGAAGGCUUUCCUACAAAACUUCAUUCGGAGAGUCUUCUUGUGGGUCCCCCAGAAGGCUCAGAUUCCAGAGUGGUUCUAGGCCCAAAUUUGGCCUAGCACACUCUGGGUUGCUCUCAUCGGGAUUCUGUGGAUUGUUCGUUUGCAUGUUUGCUGUGUGUGUGUGUGUGUGUGUGUGUGUGUGUGUGUGCGCACAUGUGCUCGUAUGGGGUGUGUGUAACAGAACUUGUGUGGUUCUUGCCUGUCUGUCUCCUGCCUCGUGAUGCCCCCACAUCCAUCACUUUGAUGGCAAACUGUCUCUCACUGCCUCUGUUACCUUCUCUGCCAUCUGCCUCCACUCCUGAGGCUCUCUCAUUAUUACCAAUAUUUCUCCUUGACAACUUUUUUUUGUCACCGCAUAUUUCAAAGCUUUUUUGGAGACUUCCAGCAUUAGGGGUGUACUAAAAUGUGAAGAGCUACAAAUGAGUAUAGGGAAGCAGGUUUAUAAUACUUUGUAAAUGAUGACUAAAUUAGGGAGGAAGGAAAUGGAAGAAUGCUAGAAGCUACACUAGGUAGGCUUGGCAGAUUUCCAGAAAAAAUAAUGGACACAUUUGAUGACAUUUUUGACAGAUGAAUGCACACACACCAAAAAAAGAUACCUGUGGCAGACACUUUGACUUUCCUUGGACCUCUUCACUAUUUCUGUGUACCCUUCACCUAGUUCAGGUGAGUUUUUACUCUAAUAGCUUAUAGCUAUGACUUUGCUUUGGAACAUUUCCCUCAAGUUACUGGAACACUUCACUUGCAAAUGCAGAGACAGAAGUGCCUGGGAUUUUACACCUUCCCGGGCAACCUUUAUCUCAUGAUUAACUGGUUUGGAAAUAUGACAGUCCAGACUCCCUUGCCUCAGAUGGGGACGAAUGUGAGGCAUAAUUUUUAAUGCAGAUCUUCCCUGAUUAUAUCAAAGCAUCAUCUCUCCAAAAAGUCUUGCCUGCCAUCACACUCUUGCUUGGCUCCUUCUGCUUUCCUGCUCUCUUACUGGCCUCCUCCAGGAGCCCUUCAGAAAUAGAUGGCUUGCACAUGAAUCUUCAUCUCAGAGUCUGCUUCUGGGAGAUCCCAACUGCACUGGAUUGAAUAAUGUCCUGAAAAAAAUCAUGUCUGCCUGGGAUCGGUCAGUGUGACCUAAGGUAACCAAUUAGGAAGCAGUUGUGCUGGAUUAGAGUGGUGUCCUUAUAAAAAGAGGACAAUUUGGACACAGAGACACAGAGGUGGAGGAGACAGUCAUGUGAAAAUGGAAGCAGAGAUUGGAGUGAAAGAUCUAGAAGGCAAGGAACACUGUGGAUUGCUAACCAGAAGGGUGAGGGAAGCAUGGAACAGAUUCUUCCUCAGAGCCUCCAGAAGGAAUUGAUCCUGCUAGCACUUUGAUUUUGGAUUUCAGUUUCUGGAACUGUGAAAGAAUAAAUUUCUGUCGUUGUAAGCCACAGUUUGUGGCAUUUUGUUAUAGCAGCCCUAAGAAGCUAAUAUACCAACCUAAGACACAAAUACAAGAUAUAGGAAGCAUAUGAGCAUAUGAGUACAAUCUAUAUUACAUCCUAUAUUUUGCAUGAGAUCAUGCAGCUUUUAUCAAUAUUUUCAAAAAAUUGAUUCAGUGAAGACUCUCUUUUAAAUCAAUAGCUGACAUUCAUUAUACUUACUGAGAGAAGUGUACAAGUAAUCCAGUUAAAAAUCAGAACGAGGGGCGCCUGGGUGGCGCAGUUGGUUAAGCGUCCGACUUCAACCAGGUCACGAUCUCGCGGUCCGUGAGUUCGAGCCCCGCGUCGGGCUCUGGGCUGAUGGCUCAGAGCCUGGAGCCUGUUUCCGAUUCUGUGUCUCCCUCUCUCUCUGCCCCUCCCCCAUUCAUGCUCUGUCUCUCUCUGUCCCAAAAAUAAAUAAACGUUGAAAAAAAAAAUUUUUUUAAAAAUAAAAAAAAAAAAAUCAAACGAAUACGAGGAUGGUCAUUAUCAUCAUUAGUGUUUAACAUUGCUCUGAAUAGUGGAUGUUCUGGCUAAUGCAAUAAGACAAAAUAGAAAAGAAAAAAAAAAGAAAUGAGGUAUUUUGAGCAAGAUGAGAUAAAUUAAUCAUUACCAGCAGACACUGGCUACUUGAAAAACCCCAGGCAGUGUACUAAAAUAUCUUAAGAAAGCUCAGGAAUAAAAGAUAACUUGUAUAUAGGCUUUGAAAAAUUUUAAAAGACCUGUCUAAAUAGAUUUUAUGCCAUGCUUCUGCACUAAAAACUAAAUAUUAAAAGUUGUUCCUAAGAGCCCCAUUAAAAUAUAAAUGAGAUGGGGGAGGGGCAGAUGUAAUUUAAAAAUACUAAAAUUCACCCAAAAGAACAAAGACAUGAGAAGAGCCAAAACACAUUUUGUGAAAAGGAAGAAAAGAGGGGCGCCUGGGUGGCUCAGUCGGUUAAGCCUCCGACUUCAGCUCAGGUCACGAUCUCGUGGUCCGUGAGUUCGAGCCCCGCGUCGGGCUCUGUGCUGACCGCUCAGAGCCUGGAGCCUGUUUCCGAUUCUGUGUCUCCCUUUCUCUCUGACCCUCCCCCAUUCAUGCUCUGUCUCUCUCUGUCUCAAAAAUAAAUAAACGUUAAAAAAAAAAAAAAGGAAGAAAAGAGAACUCUCACCUGGUACUAAAAUGUAUUAUAAAGUUAGAGCAAUCGACUGUACCCAAUAAAUGACUUGGUUCUGGUGCAGAAAUAUACAAAAGGGUACGGCAGAAUAGAAAGUCCAGAAAUAGACCCAAAUAUUUAUAUAAUCAGGAUUUAUAUAAUCACUUACAGUAUGGUAAUGGUGACAGUUCAUGUCAUUAUAAAAAUAUUGCUCCAUGAAUUAUGCUGGGAAUGAAAGGGUAACUCACCCUAAAUACAUUCCAACUGAAUUCAUGUUUUCAAAAGCACUUUGGUUUUCCAGCAAUGACAGACUAAGCAAUUGAGAUCGACCACUUUGCUGCAAUUUCAAAAACUGAACAGAGUUUAAAAUACAUUUGCUUGAAGGCGUCUGAGAGCUAAAAAACCUGUGAAGAAUGGCAUGGCCAAGGUCUAAAAGAAGGAGGAAACUCAGGGGCAUAAACCCAGCACCUGGGGAUGCUUUACUCCUCGAAGUGCUAGCUGAUUCCAAAGUAGGUGGCCAAGAGGCCGGAGACAGCGGCACUUUGGAGAGCUCUGAGGAGUGAAGGGGAUAAAAAUUAAGAAUACAAGAUCACUGAAAGGGGAAGCCUCUAGUAGAUGCCCCAUGCAUUGGCUCGGCAUCCUGAAAGGUACACCUGACCUGACAGAGUGUGGAAAUACAUGAACCUUCACACUGAACGCAGCUUCCAAUCAUCUCAAACCUGGGGAUUAGAUUAGCUUGAUCCUGGAUUGUUAGAACCCUAAGCUUUCUUCCAGAAGCAAGUGUAAGUCCUCUCUGAAGGAUGAUAGCAUCCUUGGAGACUUGAAAUUAUUCUACAAUGUUGUGUAUGCAAUAUCUGAAAGUCAGUAAAAAAUAAUCAAGUGCAAAAUGAGACCAGAUGGUAUUAUCAAAAUCCAUGAAAUUCUUCCUAAGAUUCUCGCAUUCUCUUGGGGAAAAAGUAAAAAUAUCAAUCAAUACUAAAAGACAAAUGACCACACAGGCAAAAUAUUUGCAAAAUACAUGACAAGGAGUUAAUGUCAAUUCUAUGUAAUACGUAAAAUAAAAACAUUACAAUAGAAAAAGUAACCAGAAGAUACACACUAGUACUUGGCAAAAGAAGAUAUACAAAUGAUCCCUGAACAUAUUAGAAUAAUCUAAUCUCACUAAUAAUUAGCUAAUUUUCAAAUAUGAGCUAUUAUUUUUUAUCUAUCAUACUUAAAAAGAUAACAAAAAAUCAUAAUAAUUAGUGGUGUGAUGAAUGUCCAGGAACUAAGUGGGAGGAAUACAAAAAAAGUACAAUAUUUUUCUGGAGGGAAACAUGAAAAGAUUUAAAUGCAUACCACUUAACUCAGGAAAUCCACUGUUUUAGGAUUUGGCUAUAAAAAAUCAUAUAUUUGCCAAGAUUCACUUAUAAGAUUGUUUAUCAUAGCGCCAUUUCUAACAGUAUAAUUAUAAGCAUCCAAAAUUGGAAAAUUGUCCACGAUAACUUAGUAGCCACACUAAAUGGGGUAGAGUAACACAAUGCAAUCCUUGAAAAGAUAACAAAAUGAAAAGUUAUGCCUAAUACAUUGGUAAGAAAAAUAAAGCAUAUUGCAAAAUGUUACCUUACUUUUGUUAUAUGUGUAUAGGGUUGACAACAAUUUGUUUUUAUUAUUUGUAGAGGUAGUUUUUAUAUCAUUCACUUUUACAUAUCUGGAUCUUAAAAAAUAAAGCAAACUAUUCCUUUUAAUCAGAAAAAUGAUCCUUCAAAUCUCUUUUGCCUUCAAAAUGUCACCUUCCCUUUCAUAUUUCAAAUGAAAUGCGUAAUAGGACACAUACAAUUAAUUUCUCCCUGACCUUCUGUAGAGUUCAUUUGCUCAUACAUUGAACUUGUUUUCACAUCAAUACUUGACAUAGGGAUUGAAGGAGAGUACUGAACUUGGUUUUUACUAUUUUUGGAGCAAUGGCUUCUUUAUUCUAAUUUUUUCUUUCUUUCUUUCUUUCUUUCUUUCUUUCUUUCUUUCUUUCUUUCCUUUCCUUUCCUUUCCUUUCCUUUCCUUCUUUUUUUACUUAUCAAGAUGUUGCAUUUCCUAUAUAAAAUGGAACACCAUUUCCAAGGCACUGUAUUGCUCAUAAAGGUAAUUCACUCACUUAUGCAGUCAAUAUUUAUGAAGCACACCUCUGUCCCUGCACUGUGCCCAAGGCUGACAAUAGAGGACACAGACCAGACCAAAUCACUUCUGCAUUUGUGCUCAUGGCCCAGAGCACACCCACUAGAUGUGUACAUAUUUUGGCAACCCACUCCUCAGGCCAAUGUGAACGCUUCUCAAGUGAAGGCCACUCGUCCAAAAUCCCAGGUCCCUUUAGUGCACAUUUAAUGGACCAAAAGUAAGUUUAUUAGCCUAAGCUUGUAAGUAACCCUUCAAAAUGAAAAUAUAGCUUUCUUACUGAAAAAUGAAUAUGUUUUUUCAAAUAUUUCUGGAGCUAAAAUUUUAAAUUUUAAGUUGUUUUAGGGGUGCCUGGGUGGCUUGGCUAGUUAAGUGUCUGGCUUUUGAUCUCGACUCAGGUCAUGAUCUCACAGCUUGUGAGUUCGAGCCCCACGUCGGGCUCUGUGCUGACAGUGCAGGGCCUGCUUGGGAUUCUCUCUCUCUUCCUCUCUCACUUCUGUCUCCCCAACUCUCUCUCUAAAAAAAAUAAACAUUUUAAAAUAAUAUUUUAAAAUAAAAUAAAAUGAACAUUUAAGUUGUUUUAAAUCGGUUAUCUUUUUUUUUAUUAAAAAAAUUUUUUUAAUGUUUAUUUUUGAGAGAGAGAGAGAGAGAGCAUGAGUGGGAGAGGGGCAGAAAGAGAGGGAGACACAGAAUCUGAAGUAGGCUCUGGGCUCUGAGCUGACAGCACAGAGCCCGACAGAGGGCUCGAACUCCUGAACUACGAGAUCAUGACCUGAGCCGAAAUUGGACACUUAACCUACUGAGCCACUGAGGCACCCCGGAUCAGUUAUCUUUUAAAAAAAAUUAGUUAUAGCUGCCAACACUCUCUUACACUAAAGGAUGUGAGGAGGAUGAAAUCAAUACAGAGACAAUACCGUUAUAAAGAAUGCACUUUUUUUUUUUUUAAAGUAGGCAUCACACCCAGAGUAGAACCCAACACCAGGCUUGAACUCAGGACCCUGAGAUCCAUACCUGAGCUGAGAUCAAGAGUUGGAUGCUUAAACUGACUGAGCCACCCAGGCAACCCCACAAAGAGGGCAUUUUUCAAAAACACAAACAAACCCCAAACCAUAAGUACUGUGCUCCCUGUCUGACAGAGAGUGUAAAUUUGAAUCCCUUUCCAAACAAUGAUUCAGCGUAAUGACAGAUAGAAUACAGGCUUAGGAGUGAAUGAGGUGAGUCACACAUAAGUCACAACACAGCAUGCUAUUAGUGAAUAUUUGUACACCCAGUUUUCCCUCAAUGUGUUUCCUGCUCAGAAAGUCCAAAUGCAAAGCUGUCCCAAACCAGAUGCCUGUAGAAGGUUCAGGUGCAGCCAGGUCAGCAGGUCUCGGUGAAAGCAUGUAGACGUGCAGAAACUGACCUUGACACAGGUAUGGGGAUGUCCUGGCCUAGUCUGGGACUGACAGGUUUGGGACCAGAUCAGAUGAGGAUUGUUUUUGUUAUCUGUUGCCUUAUAACAAAACGCCACAAAACGUAGCAGUUUAAAACAAAUACAGUAUUUAUUAUGUUUUCAUGAGCCGGAGGGUUGAACAGACUCCGGUGGGUAGCUUUUCUUUGCUUCACCUGCUGCAGCUGACCUCACAUGGCUGCGUUCCACUGGGAACUUGGCCUGGCCCGGUAUCUAAGGGGGCAUCUCAUCCAUCAGGGUCUCUCCCGAUCUUCAGUAGUCUAGCUCAGGCAAUUUUACAGUGGCGCAGAUGACUUCCAGAAUGUAAGCCUCGAUGUGUCAGCACUAAUGAGGCCUCUGCUUGCUUCAUAUUUGCUAAUGUCCCACUGGACAAAGCAGGUCACAUGGCCCGCCCCACGAUCAACGUAGGAGGAUCUGUACAGGUGGCAACUAUUCCAAGGUGUGGUUUAUUGAGGGCCCUCGGUCCAACAGUCUCCCACAGGGACCAAGAUGUGGACAUGGGAUGAGAUAGAGGAUGUGAUAGGAGGAUGCAGUGGGGAAGGGGGGGUGCUGUGGUGGGACAUAGGCCUUGAGCAUAGGCCACAAUAAGAAUGUAACCACCACCGAAAAUAGUGCUUUAACUGGAAGUGGGGGCGGGGACAAGGAGAUCAAGCUGAAGAGACCAACAAAGGGACUGUGGCUGUUUAAACAGAGACCAUCUAGAGCAUCAUUAGGAGAGCAGGAUAAAAAUCAAAGAAAUCAGGUAGGUGGCAAGGCAGAAGGUAGGCAAUGGAGAGAAAAAGUUGCUGAUUUCUUUCUGAAAGAGGAGAAUUGGAAAUAAAAUGCUUACAAAUCCAUGUACCAUUACUUUUUUAAAUGAAGGAGCUUGGAUUUUCCAAGUAGCCCUUGUGAUGUUCUUUUUUAUAAUGUCAUUUUUUUUAAGUCCUUUUUUUUUUUUUUUUUUGAGAGUGAGCAAGCGUGCAUGAGCAGGGGAGGGACAGAGAGAGAGGCAAAGAGAGAGAAUCCCAAGCAGGCUCUGUGUUGUCAGCAUAGAGCCCCAUGUGGGGCUUGAUCCCAGAAACCCUGAGAUCAUGACCUGAGCCGAAAUAAAGAGUCAGGUGCUUAACCAGCUGAGCCACUCAGGUGUGCCUGUUCUUUUUUAUUCAAAGGAAGGAUGGCCUGUGGUGGUUGGGUGACUCCUUAGAGCCCUAGCUGGACCCUACUGCCCCUCUCUGCCAUCUCCCCCAGUUUUCCAGCCCUCCCUUCUCUGGACCCUGGUCCCAAACAUUUGCUCAGGUGCUCCAACUUUGAAGAUACAUUUUUUUAAUGAAGCCUGGGUCAAUUCUACUUUCAGAUGUAAGAUGCUUUAAAUGCUUGCUGAAGUUGAAUAUGAGUAAUUUGACCAGUAGACUUACAGAGUCAGAAAAGUCUUAUAGUGGUACAAGGUUCCACAUGAUUCCUUGACCUCAUCUGCUACCCACCCACUCCCACCCCCACCUCCAUCUCUCUGGCCAUAUUGGCCAAUUGUUUGAUAACAGGACCUUAUACCUGCCAUAUAGCCUCUGUCUGGAAAUCUUUUCCUCUAGAUAGCUACAAAGCUUCCUCUUCUUUUCCCCCCAGAUCUUUGCUGAUAUGUUAUCUUAUUGAUUAUUUUCCUGGCAAUAUUUAAAACUAAAGCCUACCCUUUCCCCACGCUGUCCCUCUUCUUUAUUUUUCUCUAGAUCCCUAUCACCAUGUAACAUGCUAUAUAUUUUGUUUUGUUAUUGUUGUUAUUGUUUGUCUGGUUUAUUUUUCAUCUCCCCAGAUCCCAGGGUGAUUCUAACAUGCAGCCAAGUUUGCAAGGAGCACCUUUGGGCACAGGCUUCAGAGUUAUGCAGACAUCCAUUCCAGUCCUGUCUUGCAGUCGAGGGGUGCCAUGACCUUGGGUAGUUCCCUAACAUCUCGAAACUUCAUUUGCAAAAUGCAAGUCACAGAAGUCCUUCUUGUCUCCUAGUUUCCUGUGAAGAUUAAAUGAGACCUGCAAGCAUUGGGCUCCGCUCGCGGUGCCUGGCUCACACCAAGGCCUCAGUAACCGACAAGGUUUCCACCAGCUGGGAUAUGACUGUCCUCCUCCAUCAUGUUGUGCCCAGCCUGCUUAGGAACAGUGCCUGGGGCUAAGCAAGCCUGGCCGCAGUUACUGCCUCUCUUUUUCUGGAGGAACUUGUUGAGGUCAUUUAGCAAAGCACCUGCUUGUCCUUUUAGAGCCUAGGUUUUCUUUGGUGCCCAUUCUCUUAACUGUUCCAGACUGCACCAGUUUCUUGGAGCAAAAUGGAGAAUACUGAAAUUGCAGUUGCCCAAGGUCCCCGGCUACAGGCAAUAUCAGCAGAGGAAACUGACCACUGGGGAACUCCUUCUGAGGAAUUGAAUGUAUGUGCUGAUUGUAUCUGAAAUUUUCAUUUGAAAUCUUUCCUUCCUCCCUGCCCCCCACUCAUUCUCUCUCUCUUUCUUCCUUCCUUUCUUCCUUCCUUGUGUCCUUCUUCCCUUCUUUCCUCCCUCCCUCCCUCUCUCUUCUUUCUUUCUUUCUUUCUUUCUUUCUUUCUUUCUUUCUUUCUUUCUUUCCUUCCUUCCUUCCUUCCUUCCUUCCUUUAAACUUUCUUUCUGAGAGAGAAGAGAGAGAUCCUACCAGGAAAUGGCACUGGGAGCCUCGUUUCAGGUUUGUUUGUUUGUUUUUAAAGUAAACUCUUAGCCCAAGAUGGGGCCCAAACUCAUGACCCCAUGAUCAAGAGUCACGUGCUCCACGGACUGAGCAACCCAGGUGCCCCAAGAACCUUCAGGUUCGUACCAGGAACAUAUCUAGGCUUUCUUGAUGCUGCUUGUUAUUUUGCUAUUUCAGGCCUCUUCUCAGGGAGCCUUAUAUUUUUUUUUUUAAUUUUUUUAACGUUUAUUUACUUUUGAGACAGAGAGAGACAGAGCAUGAAUGGGGGAGGGGCAGAGACAGAGAGGGAGACACAGAAUCUGAAACAGGCUCCAGGCUCUGAGCUGUCAGCACACAGCCCAACGCGGGGCUCGAACUCACGAACCGUGAGAUCGUGACCUGAGCCGAAGUCAGACGCUUAACCGACUGAGCCACCCAGGCGCCCCUCAGGGAGCCUUAUAUUAAAGUGACUUCUCGGGGCUCUUGGGUGUCUCAGCCGAUUGAAUGUCCGACUCUUGAUUUCAGCUCAGGUCGUGAUCCCAGUGUCGUGGGAAUGAGCCCUGAAUCAGGCUCCACACUCAGCAUGGAACCUGCUUAGGAUGCUCUCUCCCCCUCUGCCCCUCUCUCUCGCUCACACAUGCGCACUCUCUCAAAUAAAAACCAAAUAUUGAAAAAAAAUAAUGAAGUGACUUCUCGGUGGAAACGAUUUCUUUCUAGCUUGUUCUCCCUGAAAGAUAUGGUAACAGUGGAGGAGAAAGGUAUUCUUUAAAGCGCUUAUUGUUAUUCAUUUAAAGCAGCAGACUAUUUAUGGAGCCAUAGUAGCAUGGCAGAUCAGCAGCUACAAAGCCGGCCUUCAAGUAGUUUCAGUUCUAUUAGGGAAAUCAGAUUUGCAUGCAACUAAGUGCGGUAACGUUUGCUAACAGUAAAAACCAAGCAGACAGAAACAGCAAGCAAUAACUCCUAGCUAGGUAUGCAAGGGGCAUUCUGAGCAGCUUUACAGAAGAGAUUUUACCAGACCUGGAUGGGGGCGGGGAGGGGCCUGGGAGAGUAAGGAUCAGCAAGAGCAAAGCUGCAAGUUUAAGACAACAGGUGCACGUUUGCAGGAUGGUGAGAAUAGCAGUCUGGUGUGGCUCCCUGGGGGCCACAAGGAGGAGCAGUGGCAGAAGAUGCUAGAAAGGCUGGCAGGUCAAGAAUGAAAAACCCGAAGAGUCACACUUAGAAAUCUGAAUGUCAGGGUACCUGGGUGACUCAGUCGGUUGAGUGUCCGACUUCAGCUCAGGUCGUGAUCUCACAGUUCAUGAGUUCGACCCCGCGUGGGGCUCUGUACUGACAGUGCAGGGCCUGCUUCAGAUCCUCUGUCCCCCCACCCCCCCUCUCUCUGCCCUGCCCCUGUGCUCACUCUCCCUUUCAAAUAUAAAUAAACAUUAAAAAAAGAAGUCUGAAUGUCAUCCCACAAACAACGGGGAGUCCUUGUUUUGAGCAAACCCAGGUCAUGACUAGAUCUGCAUUUCAGAGAUCACUGAGAGACAGGGCCCCGAUCCUUGACCUGACACUGAAGUGACAUCAUUGUGUGGGUUUUCAUGCUUUAGGGGUGACGCUGGCGAUCAUUUGGGAGAGGAGCUAUGGAAAUCCCAUGUCCCAGGCAAGUAGGCAAGCCACAAGACGGGCCAUCCAGGCAGCAAAGAUCCCAGAGCACGUCCAGUCAGCUUUGGCAGUGUGUAGGGAGAUUCUCUGAUAGCAGUUUAUGCAUUUGCUAUCGACUGAGUAUUUGUCCCCUUCACCCACAGUCAUAUGUUGGAAUCCUAACCCCCAAGGUGAUGGGAGUAGGAGGUGGGGCCGUUGAGAGGUGAACAGGACUUAGUAUCUUUAUGAAAGAGACUCCAGAGACACCCCUGGCCCCUUCCACCAUGUGAGGACACAGAGAAGAUGACCAUUUAUGACCCAGAAGGCAGGCCCUCAUCAGACACUGCAUUUGCGCUGGUGCCUUGAUCUGGGACUUCUUAGCCUCCAUAACUGUGAGAAAAUAAAUAUUUGUUGUUUAUAAGCCACCCAAUCUAUGGUGUUUUGUUUAUAGCAGCCUGAAUGGACUAAGCCACCACCUGACUAUGUCUCUCUCAGAUCGACUGAAAACUGAGUUACCAUUCUGAGUACCUACCCAUUGGUACCAGUGGACAUGACCAUGGAAGGCUCAGAGUUGUGAGGAAGGUUGCAGGGAUGGGAAGAACAUUGGAAUGAAUCAUCCUGAGACUAAAUGUUCUCUGAUGCCUCCUGACAGCGUUGCUCAUCUUCAUGUAAUUACUGAGAGCAGCCACUCCUCACUGCCCCUGCCUUCUUGCCUGCUGUUUUAGGAAGCCCACCUGGGACAAGGACUUGAAUGCAAGUGACUUGUUUGGGAAGUAAUUCCAGGAAGCCCCAGGAGGGGUGUGGGGAAGUGAGACAGAGGAGAAAAGGAAGUCUAUAGCGUGCAUUAAAAAGCAGGUUCCUGGGGCACCUGGGUGGAUCAGUGGGUUAAGUGUCCAACUAUGACUCAGGUCAUAAUCUCAUGGUUCGUGAGUUUGAGCCUUACAUCGGGCUCUCAGCUGUCAGCACAGAGCCCACUUCAGAUCCUAUACCCCCAUCUCUGCCCCUCCCCUGCUCCCUCUCUCCCUCUUUGUCUCUCAAAAAUAAAUAAACAUUAAAAGAAAAAGAGCAGGUUCCUGCCAUGGGCAACUGGGAGUCAAUCACAGUGGACCUCCGGGUGACAUCGUAGAACAAGGGCAAGGAAGCUGAGAUAUUCACCCACCAUCUUCCAUCUGUCAUGGGCUGCAGGCUACUCCCAGGGUGUAAACUCUCCAGCAGGCCCACCAACGGACUAAGCAUGGUCCAGUGACCAGAGUCUCAGAUGCUUGUGGUAGGAACGUCAUCCGCACACACAAAUUUUUAGAACAUCUACAGGUUGGCAGGCAUAAUGCUUGGUGCUGGGAUAGAGAAAGUAGGGUAGACUCUUCCCUGCUGCCAUGGAUUUUUCCCUGAUACCCCCAGGUAGUCAGGACUCUCCUUCCUCACUCUGGCUCCUAUCAUGGAAAUGGGUUUGUUUGGUUUGAUCGGUUGCCCUUAAUCCAUUUCUUCUCCUUCAACUUCCCCCAAUUUCCUUUUGUAUAUACCCUGGUGAGGUUGUUCUCCUCUUCCUGUUCUCUUCCAGCCGCAGAGGUAGCACAUGACUGAGGCUAGACCAGUCAAACACUCCCUUUCCCCUGUGGAAAUUGACUGUUAGGCUGAAUGGUAGCGACUGAAAAUGAUUGAUUUGUCCAAGAGCCCCAGCCUCAUGACCCUCUGUAGAGCUUCUGGGUAUUGCCUAUUUUCACCCCUAUUCUCUGUGACUUUGGGAGUCUCCCACACUCUUCCUAUAACCCCCUUUUUGCUUAAUAAUGCCAGUGUCAGUUUCCAUUUUGUGCAAGCAAAGAACCCUGAUGUAGCUCUUUUUGGAAUUUUAAUCAUUUAAAAGGUAUUUAUUGAGCACCUACUAUGUGUUAGGCACCCAGUAGUCACGGGAGAUGCCAUGUUAAAAAAAAUGUCUGCCUUCAUGAGGCUCUCAGCAAAAUAGGAGAAAAAAUUGAAUAAAUAGUCCCCCAGUGGGCCACAGAAUGACUAAUGUGACAAAAGCAGGUUUCAGGAUAUUAAGCAAGUGGGUCUCUAAGAUUUUAAUUUAGAUUGAGCCCAAGGAGAUAGCACAGAGGAUGUCACAUGUGGGCAGAGGCCUGAAGAUUGAGUGAAGAACAUUCCAGGCAAAAGGGGCAGCAUCUGUAAAGGAAGACCUGAGCCAAGAAAUACGCUUGUCCACCUUGGCCUGACCUUGGCCUUUGCUCAUUUAUCAGGUGGGACUUGAUCAGACCCAUUCCAGCCUCUUCCUGUUCUACCACCACCUGGGGCAGUAGUCCUGACCACAGGAACUCAGCUCUCUUUCUCCAGGAACUCCCUGCCCUUUAUUUAAAGCUCAAUGCAACAAGUCAAAUCAGUCACCUGCAGUGAAUCCUAGCAACGUGGGAGGUGUGGUGGAGGCUGAGAUGCACCGCCCUGAUCCCCCUUCAAAACCGAAGAACUCACCCCCCCCCCCCCGCUGUGAGUCUUACUUCAAAGAGAGCCACCCCAUGUUCGGAACGCUAAGACUUCCUUUGAGACUGCGUUGUCACCCAACUUCUCCCUCUGCCCAAUGCCACUUCCUCCCCUUCCCUUCUACAGACUCCAGUCCUGAGAACAUCCCUUCCAACCCUCCUGCACAUGAAUCAUCGUCUCAGGGUCUGCUUCCUAGGGAACCACCUUGCAGCAGAUGGAAGGAACCAGAAUUAAGGAUGAGAAGACUGUGUUCGUGCCUAUCACAUCCUGACUGUGUUAUCUUGGACCAGCCUCAUGUUAGUUCCAGGUUAGUACCAGCCUGGUCCACGGAAGGCUCCAAACGAGGGCUCGUUGAUUCAGACAAUAGAUGGAACUUUCUCCGUAAAUGUUUUUAAAACACACGUAGUUGUCAGUUAUGACUAUUUUGAGUUGGAAAGGGGAAAAACGAAAUAUAACUCCAAUGAACACGUGGAAGAUAGGACAAGAGUCAGAGACCUUGGAGCAGGGACAGCAGUCAAGAGGACGCCACGGUUGUCCCGAGGAGACGCACUGAUCACGAGAAGGCGAGCAAGCACUCCUGACUAUGAGGACUUGGAAGGACAGGGACACAGAAACCAAAGGGUGAACAAGGGCACAGUUGAUGGGCCAUCAGUCGUGUGCGGUGCUUCAGAAAUGUCAAGCGGGUUAAGCAGUGAUGUGAAGUGUCAGUUUUAAGAGCGUUGCCCACAUUUGCUCUUCCAGAAAUGUUUAAUGGGCUCUCAGUAGUCAACCUGGAAAGCGGGGAGUGUGGGCAGGGACGUAUCUGUUUCCUUCACCACCAUGGACUCUGUGCUUAAGAUGCUGUUGGUGCCCAUUGGGCAUCUGACAACUAUUUAUUAUUGUUGAAUAAUUCGUAGGUGUUUGAAAAUAAAGUGAGUGGUUUGUUGUCACUACUGGAAUAGCUUGUUGGAAAAAAAUCCACAUGCUACCAACCUGUGCCACGAAAAUAUGAACACACACGUACCUACACCUACUCUGUCCAGCCCAGGGGCUGAGUAUAAACAAAGCUAUUUCCUGGUGCAUGGAAGCCGUUUGUCCUAUGCACCAGACCCGGGAGGUAAUCCCUGAGCUUCUCCCUACAGUUACUUAAGGCCUCUAUACCUCUUUUGAACAUUGAUAAUUCUUUAAAGAGCAUCUAAAUGAACCAUUAAUAAGACAGCAUGCCUCUAAAUUUAGUCAGGAGAGGGUAGACACACGUUAUAGAAUAUAGAUGAGAAAUCUAACAGCACAUUUCCAAGGGUCUACUAACAGGGUAUUGGAGAAAGUGGGAUUGUUUCAAAAUAAAAGUCUCCCUUUGAAGUGAGAGUAUAUGAAAGCAACUUCUUAUCGUUAAUAAUUGGGACCUAUUGUCGGAGUAGAGAGUAUGAAUCCACAUGCCCAAUUGAAUGGGUGAUCACGGCAAUAAUCUCCCCUUUCCAUUUUGGUCUAAUUGUGGUGGUCUGUCAUUUCUCUAGAUGUGACCGUGACAUUUGGUGCAUUUCUGCACGAGGAUUUGUUUUUCUCCCCACUGGAAGGUGAACUUUUAAAAAUCUCUGAUUCCAGGGGCGCCUGGGUGGCUCAGUCAGUUGAGCGUCCGACUUCAGCUCAGGUCAUGAUCUCACGUUCCGUGAGUUCGAGCCCCACGUCAGACUCUGUGCUGACAGCUCAGAGUCUGGAGCCUGCUUUGGCUUCUGUGUGUGUGUGUCUCUCUCUGCCCUUGGCCUGCUCACAUUCUGUCUUUCCCUCCUUCAAAAAUAAACAUUAAAAAUAAAAAUUUCUGAUUCCCUAGCAUGUUGCAGGUUACCUGGUGCAUGGGAGACAUUGAAAGCAUAUUGAAGGAAAGGAGAAGAGGAGAAGGAGGGAGGAGAACGGAAGAGUAUCCAGUAAGACUCAUGGGGAUCAUUCAGAGUAGUUGGAACACUUAGCUCCUGCUGGCCUCCAUGUAGCUUUCUGACUCUUUGAGUACUAGGGGAUGGAGAGAAAUACAUAAAAUUGGGAAUCAGGGGGGUGCCUGGUGGUUCAGUCGGUUAAGCGUCUGACUUCGGCUCAGGUCAGGAUUUGUAGUUCGUGGGUUCAAGUCCUGCGUUGAGCUCUGUGCUAACAGCUCAGAGCCUGGAGGCUGCUUUGGAUUCUGUGUCUCUCUCUCUGCCCCUCUCUGCUCGCUCGCUCUCUCUCUCUCUCUCUCUCUGUCAAAAAUACACAUUAAAAAAAAUUUUUUUUAUUUUUUUAAUUUUUUUUUUCAACAUUUAUUUAUUUUUGGGACAGAGAGAGACAGAGCAUGAACGGGGGAGGGGCAGAGAGAGAGGGAGACACAGAAUCGGAGACAGGCUCCAGGCUCCGAGCCAUCAGCCCAGAGCCCGACGCGGGGCUCGAACUCACGGACCGCGAGAUCGUGACCUGGCUGAAGUCGGACGCUUAACCGACUGCGCCACCCAGGCGCCCCCAAAAAAAUUUUUUUUAAUUGGGAAUCAGGAGACUUGGGUUUGUGUCCUAGAUCUACUAUUCAAUGCCUGUAUAUCACUCACUUAAUCUUUUAGCCUCAGUAUCCCCUUCUGUAAAUUGGGGAUUAUCCUUUCUACCAUGAAGAAGUCUUGAGUGAUUAAGUGACAUAAUAUAUGUGAUAUCAUUCAGCAAACUACUAAAUGUCAUGUAAUUGUGGCUUAUAAUUAUUAUUACCCUGGAAUCAGAACCACCUACCACUGAAUACUUUGAAGAAGAGGAUAAGGACUGACCUUUCCCUCAUCUUCCCUUCCUAUUUUGGGAUUUUGCUAUUGUAUUUGUAUUGGAUGACGAUCUUCUAUCUUCCUUGUCCUCCUCCUCCUUCUCCUCCUUCUUCUAUCUGGAGGCAACAGUGAUUCCAAAGUUUGACGAGUGGUCUCCAAUCAGAUCGGAAUCACCUGAAAACUUUAUAAAGUACGGAUCCCCAAGUUCCAACCCCAAGGAAUUCAACUCACUUGUUCUAGAGUGGGGAUGUAGUUUGAAGAGCUGCCCAGGUGUGUCUGAGGAGCAGCCAGGCCAGGAAACCUAGACAGGCUGUCCAAAGACCUUCAAGGUCAGGCCUGAGAGUUUUCGAAUAUGCCCCUUUUUACUGGCUGAAUGCCUGGGAAAUGCUCUGAGGGGUGACAGCAUUAGGCUUUGUUAUUUGAGACUAGUAAUGUUACAGUAGAAAUGCUACCGUGAGCAUGAAAUUCCUGUAACAAAUUCACAGACAGGCAUUUGGACCUAAAAUCAAAGCUCUGGGGGAGCAUGGGAAGAUAUGGAGCUUAGUAAGGCGUUUAGAAAAAGCAUUUAAGUUGCUUCCAUAGAAUUUCCUCCACUUCAGGAAAACAUGGCAUGAGGCACGCCCCUCUAUCUCUCAGAGGGAUGUUUCGAUCUUUCGAUCUCAGAGGGAUGUUUCCAUCUAACGUGAAAAUGAAUGGCGCUUUGGACUUCUUGGAAGUCCUCAGGGCGCAUUAUCAUCUGCUAGUUCAGGCUAGUAUUUCUCUCCAGAGUCACUAUCCAUCACAAAUCUUAUUUAAAAAAAAAAAAAAAAACGGUCUGUUGAAAUUCUCAUACACUCAGUUGGAUAUGUAAAUUGGUGCAAACACUUUGGAAAACUGUUUAGUAGUAUUUAGUAAAGCUGAACGUUCGCAUACUGUAUUCUGUUUCACUGUUACACGCAUACUCAACAGAAACGCUAACAUACGGUUACCAAAAGACAUGUACUAGAAUGUUUAUGGUCUCACAGGUCAUAAUAGCUCAAAACCGUAAACUACCCAAAUGACCAUAUGCGCUAGAAUGGAUAAAUAAGUUUUAAUAUGUUGCCACAACAAUGAAAAUGAGUUAUCUAUAAUUAGAUGCAAAGUUAGAUGUAUUUCAUACACGUGAUUUUAUGAAAGAAGCUAACUUCAACUGGAAGCUGAAAUUAACCCCAAGGAUGUAUAUCUGAAGUGUAGCCAGUGGUGUUCACCAAGGGAAAACUGGCGUUUUCCUUCUGUACAAGAAGGACCUCCUUUCAUUUUAAAGACGCCAGGAAUAGCCCACACACUAACCCUUCCCAACUGACCGUGGUGUUUGUCCUUAGAGAAACCCUUCCCAACUGACCGUGGUGUUUGUCCUUAGAGAAAUCUGACAAAACAAUACCUGAAGAAAGAUAUGUCCAUAGGGUGUAUUUUUUUAAUGUUAAUUUAUUUUACUGUUAAUUUUUUAAAAAAAGGUUUUUAUUUUUAAGUAGUCUCUAUACCCAACAUGGAGCUCGAACUUACGACCCCGAGAUCAAGAGUCACAUGCUCCACCAACUGAGCCAGCCAGGCACUCCCAGAAGGUGUAUUUUAUAAGCUUUCUGAGUUGAUAAUUCAACCGUGCCUUCCAAAAUGAAGGGAAAUGUUGGCUCCAUGUCCAGAGUAACUUUCUUUUUAUCCCCAAACCUGUCUUGAACAGAGCUCUGAAAAGAGUCCUGCUCAACUGGCCAGCUGAGUGAGGUGUUCAAAAACUACUACAGAAAAAAAAAAAAAAUGGUGCAUUUUGAAGAAUUUUUUUUAAAUGAUUGCUGUAUUGCUGUGUGUAUGUUUUUAAAUUUUUUCUUCAUUUUAAGUCAAACUGAUUUGGAACAGUACACAGCAGAAAUCUUAAAUAAAAAUCACCCCAUGUCACCUCCCCAAGUAACUCUUAUUAGCAGUCAGUGAAUAUCAUUCCAAUUAGUCUCUAGGCAUAGAUAGGAAUUAUUUGGUAAACAUGGGUGCAAACGUAAAAAACAAAUUACAAAGGAAAAUUGCUUGGGAAACCUCCCUUUAUCUCUGUGGCAAAGAAGAGAGGAACUUGUGCUUUCAGAGACUGUAAAAUAGCCUUUUUCUGGUCAUUCCUUUGAUGAGAUGACUGCUCUGAUAACAAAAUAGUUGGAAUUCUAAGGCAAAUAGUGCCUUUCUGAUCAAGCAUUGACCUACUCGGGUGGAAAGCAGGCUGGAAGGAGAGAAACAGCCUCUAGUCCCCACGGGGACUUUUUGAGGGAAAGACAGAACCAAGAUAUAGAUUGUCACAGAGGGAAGAAGGAAAGAGAAGGCAUGACCCAGAGUUGCUGCCAGAGCAAAGCAAUAUACUGCCUGCCGGGGUGGGGCGGGGGUAGGGGGGAAGUGGUGGGAUAAUGAAGACUUGGAAAUUUUGCAAACUGAUCCAGAAUCUGAGCGAAAGAAAGAAAUAGAACGAAAUAGUGUGCCAUUGGUCUAACUACUCUUUAAUGAAAAUAAUUCUACUUUCUUCUGUAACUUUUAAGAGGAGAGGUCUUGGGAGUGCAGAUUAAAUGUGCUAAUCCAUAAACGAGAGCUGCUUGCAAGUAAGCUGAGCACAAAAAUAAAAGUCUUGUUUGUUGCAUGGCUCCUUCUCCAAAAUUUUCACAAGAUAAGGAUUAAUUUAACUAAGGAGGAGGGAGGGAGGACAGGAAGGUGUAAACCUGGCCUCUUCAUCAGUCUGAGAUGCUGCCCUUCUGACUACCCACCCCCCCCCAACUGAUUUAUCACUCACUAGUCUAAGGGACCCUAGGACACUUAGACUGAGAAGAAGAAAAGAUAGCUGUCCCCUGCCCUGAGGCCUUCUCAAGCUUACAGAUUACAGCCACCAGGGCAGAAAGCCCUUAAAACUUGGCAACUCUCCUUGGACCUCACUUCCAUAACAAAAUUUCCAUUGAUGUUUGCCUUUGGUUAAUGAAAUUAACCAGGUUUGCCUGAUUAAUGAAAUUGAGUAAACCCAAUCAUGGCCCACUAUUAUUGAACAAUCUAUGCCCUUCCCUGGCCCAUGAACUUCACAUGUAUCAGCCUGGUUAGUGCUCAUAACUCUAUAAAGUAAGCACUGUUAUGAUCCCCAUUUUACAGAUGACAAAAUAGAGGCAAAGAGAAGUUAAGCUACUUGCCCAAGGUUGCAGAGCUAGUGUGUGAGACUCCAAAGCGGAUACUUUUACCAAAGAGCCUGGGGCCAAAAACCUGGCUCAUGAAGACUGGAGCCAGUUAAAGCUAGGAGAGAGACCACAUUUUCUUAAAAUAAAGCCAGUGCCCUUGCUCUAAGCUCUCCAGUGAUUUCAAGUGGCUUUGGAGUCACAAAACCCCACAACACACCACCCGCUUCCAAUUUAUUAUGUUGGCUGUUGGCCUCUUGACCUUGCACCUUAGCUUCUGUGUGGGAAGUAAGAGAAAUACGUGUGACGGUGUGUGAGUGUGCGUGUGUGAAUAAUGUGCAUGUGAGUGGAUGUUUGUAAGUGGGCAGGCAUGACUUUAUAUGAGUGGAAGGGUUUCACUGCGAGCGUGCAUUUGUGAGUGUGCAUGUGUGAGUGUGUGCAAGUAGAAGUGUGAAUGCAUUUGCACGUGAAUUGUUGAGGGUGGAUGUGUACGGAUGGAUGUAAAUGUGUCUGGAUGAAUUUGGAUAUGUGUGUGUGGAUGUGUGUGCGUUAGUGUGUGUGCAUCCAUAUGCGUGUAUACGUGUGUCUGCAAAUGUGCAUAUGAAUGUCCAAGUGCGCGCACGUGUGUGUCUGAAUGAAUACAUGUGCGUGUGCAUGUGGUUGAGUGACCCACAAGUGUACUUGUGUCUGCAUGUUGCAUGUGUGUGUGUGAAUGUGUGAGUAUUGUGUGCUUCUCCCAGCUUCCCUUACUGUCGGCAAGUUCAAGUGACGCAUGGGGUGCCUGGGUGGCUCAGUUGGUUACGCGUCUGACUUCGGUUCAGGUCAGGACCUUGCCGUUCAGAGUUCGAGCCCCACGCUGGGCUCUGUGCUGACGGCUCAGAGCCUGGAGCCUGUUUCAGAUUCUGUGUCUCCCUCUCUCUCUGACCCUCCCCUGCUCAUGCUCUGUUUCUGUGUCUCGCUCUCUCAAACAUAAAUAAACAUUAAAAAGAAAAAAAAAGAUCAAGUGACACAUGAGCUCUGCUCUCUGACAGAAAAGCUUGAGGAAGUUGUCCCAGGACAGCCCUGGCCACAGAAGAAGAGAGGAUGUCGGCUCUGUGCCCCUGGGGGAGGUGGCCAAGUGGACUCUGACCUGCCAGACCAUAGCAAACCCCCCCAGUGGUGCCACUGCUGGCCUGGCUCCCUGGCCCACUCCAUGUGCGUGCCGCCCCCUACCUGGGGUCUCGUGGGUUUUCCUUUUCUCCUAGAUGAGUGACCGGGGGCCAGAGAUGGAGUAGCACAGGCUUUGGAGUCAAACAGACUUGGGAUCAAAUUCCUGCUCUGCCUGUGGACCCUGAGGGACUGUGGACAAGCUACUUAACCAUUCUGUCCUCAGCUUCCCCAUCUGAUAAAAGAGAGCAAUUCUACCCUGCACACAAGUUUAUGGUGAAUAUCAAAGGAGCCAACGCAUCUAAAAACAACAACAAAACCAGGCAUAGUACUUUGCACAAAAUAUAUGCUUAAUAAAUGAUAUUAUUGUUCCAGUAGGCCACGAGAAAAACAAUCCAGCUUCUUUCUUCCAAGUUGCCCUUUUGGAGAAAUCAUUAACUCUCACAGUGGAGCCAGGCACAAUGGGAGGUUUGUAGAAGCUUUUUGGCCCAUCUUAAUUAUACAUUAGGGCACUUUGGAAGCCAUUUACAAGCAAGGGUCAGAAAGAGUUAAUAUACCAGAACAGGGACAACACUCCUCACAGUCACCAGGGAAAUCGGUCCUUCGCUUUCCAAGAGGAAGGUAGAAAAGUCCCUAUUUUGCAACAACCCCAUCUCGACAGCUGAAAACUUUUACUAGAGGGAAUUAUGCCUCUUUAGAAAUGAAACACUGCAUCUGUAAAUGUGAGUCGAUUGUCCGACUUUUCAAGGACCAGAAAAUGAAAUAAAGAAAAGAACUCUCAACAGGGAGGCCACCGUGUCACUGAGGAGAACGGAUCAGAACAAUGACUGAGUGGCUGGCUGAGGCCACCUGCCUUAGAGGCGGGAAUUGAGUCAAUAAAGGCACUAAACAAACAGUUGGGCUUUAGUGUUCUAAAUCAGUUUGUACAGUGGUUAAAGCUUGUGAGCCGAGGAGCACCGAAGGCCUGUACAUAUCCCCUGCUAAAUCUGAGCCAAUCUCCCUGGCCAGUGCUUUGUUUACUCAGUGUCUUUCAUUGCAAAAUGGCCGCUCCACUAGGGUCAUGAGCGGAGCUGGGUGGAGCAGGAGACGGAGAAGUCUCAGGGAUGGGGGUUAGCAUCUGCCUUCACAGGGGUGCUGGCUCCCCUGCCUACGGCUGCUUACUCCUCAUGGAGAGAGGCUGAGGGUCCCAUCACCUGAAUAAAGCUGAAGCCUCAGGUGAAGAGAGUGAACUGGAAGGAAACAGGCAUAAAACACACUCUGUUAGUUAGAGAAAGUCUUGGGAAAUAGUUUUUAAGGUUCCUGCUCCAAGGUGGGGAAAGGACCUGAUUCGGAAGAGGUGGUUUGCAGAAGCUCCGGGUCACCCUAGAAAGUAGGGCCUCAGCCACCAGCCAGCAUGCUCCUCCUCUGCCUUCCGUCUAUGUACUUAAGCAACACAGAGUCGUUUAGAAUUUGGGCAGAUUAGACUUAAGAAACUUUAGGAAUAUGUGUUAUGGUUUCACAGGUGAUAAAUUGACAUAAUGUUGUGUCCAUGAACACCCGUAUUCAUGACGUUCACAAGAGGUAGCUUUGUCGCCAUGAAAAACUGGAAGAAUUUUUGAAUGGGAGAGGGUGGGGCAAGAUGAUUCCCAUAAUACGCCCUAACUUCACAACAUCCCACAUUUUGGAGGCAGCGAAGGAGAGGAGACCAAUUGGUUUCCCGUGUCCAGGGGACACAGAGCUUUCAUGCAGGUGCAAGGCACUAUUUCAUAUGGAUGGGUCUUGUCUUCAGUGCCCUGCUGUUUCCCAUGAUGCACCUAUUUCCCACCUCAGAACACUGAGGACGGUUUUCUGGGGCUGAGACACAAGUGGAGACGUAAAAGGGCAUUGACACCCUUCUACCCCCCUUCAUCCAGGCCUGAUCUCCUCUAACCGUGCCUAAAUUUCUAACGUUGCAAAAUUUCUUCUUACUCUCUUAUUCCAUCAAAAUUCCCAUUCCGUCAGUAUAGCGGCUCUUAACUGGAGAGGAUUUUGCCCCCAAAGGGACAUUUGUCAACAUUUGGAGAUAUUUUUAGUGAUUCCACCUGAGGGUUGUAGUGCUCCUGGCAUCUCCUGUGAGUAGAGGCUGGAGAUGUUGCUAAACAUCCUACAAGGUAUAGAAGAUCUCCUCACAUCGAGAAUUAUUCAGCCCAAAUGUCAGUACUGAGGCUGAAAAAAACCCUGCUUCCAUGUCUUGACAUCACAGGUUUUUAUUUUUGAAAAUAAUAAUUUUAUUAUUGAAAAAUAUCUAUUUGUACUAAUUCACAGUAUGGUUUAAAUGGCCAAUAGUCUACAUAUAACCUGCCAGGGUCAGUGGCAUUUAAAAGAGAUUUUUGUUAUGAUGAGCACUGGAUGUUACAUGUAAGUGAUGAAUCACUAAGUUCUACUCCUGAAACCAAUGUUACACUACAUGUUAAUGAACUAGAAUUUAAACAAAAGUUUGGAGAAAUAAAGGAGGUUCUUACUCGUUGGCAGGAAUUUACAUCAUGCAAAAAAAGGAAGUGAAGACUUUUGGGAAGCUCCAGGGAGAAAUAUUUUGUAUGUGUGCAUGUUGGGGAGGCCCUUCUGGCUAUCCCAAUAGUCUCAUCAUGGAGGCACCCACCGCCCUGUUCCAUGGGCAGAAAGAGCACGCUGUGCACUCAUUCUGGCAAGGGCUGAAAUGAAGACCCAGGUGUGCUGUCUCCCUUACCUGCAACCAAUGGAAGGCACAAAGCAUUGACUGACCUACUAUUUCCUGGUCUAGGUCACCAUGUGAUGGGAAUGAUUUGAAGUUAAAAUAUUGAAGGGAUAGCAUAGGUUGGGUGAAGAAUGAAUACCCCAGUCCCUGAUGCCUGCACAGCUCUCUGCAAGCUGUAUGUAAGAAUGCUCUAAAUGAAUCUCUGAGGUCAGAGACUUUCAACCUUGGCUGCAUGUUAAAAUCCACUGAGGGGGCUUAACAAAUUCUAAUGCCUAGGCUGACCCCAGGGCAUUUCAUAAAAAUUCCUAGAGGUAAAACCCAGGCAUCAGUAUUUGCUGAUGUAAAUAAAAAGUUAAAUUUUCAUUAAAGUAUAACAUACAGAUAGAAAGUACAUUUUUAUCUCCAGCAAAUCCACUUCUGGGUACAUACCCAAAAGAAUUGAAAGCAGGGUUUUUUAAUUUUUUUUUUUAACGUUUAUUUAUUUUUGAGACAGAGAGAGACAGAGCAUGAACAGGGGAGGGGCAGAGAGAGAGGGAGACACAGAAUCUGAAACAGGCUCCAGGUUCUGAGCGGUCAGCACAGAGCCCGACGUGGGGCUCGAAGUCAUGGACCGUGAGAUCACAACCUCAGCCGAAGUUGGACGCUUAGCCAACCAAGCCACCCAUGUGCCCCGAAAGCAGGGUUUUGAAGAGAUAACUGCAUACCCAUGUUUAUAGCGGCAUCAUUCCCAAUAGCCAAAAGGUGGGAGCAAGCCAAGUGCCCAUCGAUGGAUGAAUGGAUAAACAAAAUGUGGUCUAUCCAUAGUAUGAAAUGCUAUUCAGCUUAAAAAGAAAGACAAUUCUGACACACAGUACAACACAAAUGAACCUUAAGGACGUUAUACUAAGUCACAGAAAGACAAAUACUGUUAAUAAUUCUACUUACAUGAGGUACCUAGAGUCGUCAAAUUCAUAGAGGUAGAAAGCAGAGUGGGGAUUGCCAGGGGCUGGGGGAGCAGGUAAAUGAGGAAGUAUUUACUAGGUAUGAGUUAAAGUUUUGCAAGAUGAAAAGAGAUUUGGAGAUCCCUUGCACAGCAAUGUGAGAGUACUGAAUACUACCAUAUACUUAAAAAUGGUUAAUAUGGUAAAUUUUAUGUGUGUUUUAAAAAAUGCAUAUGUUAAAAGAGUACAGCUUGAUGAAUUUUCACGAAGUGAAGACACUUGUACAACCAGCACUCAGGUCAAGAAAUUCAGUAUUACCAGCACCCCUUUAUACCUCUUCCAUACCCCUCCCAGUCACAAUCCCUGCCCCAAGAGUAAUGAUAUCCCAACUUCUAAUACCAUAUCCUAAGUGUCAUUUAAUGGAUCUACAAUUGUUUACAGGCAUAUCAUAUUUUAUCUAACCGUUCCCCAUUCAUUUAAUUAGACUUGGAAAAUGCUUUUUAAAAGAUGCUUGAUGGGGCGCCUGGGUGGCUCAGUCGGUUGAGUGUCUGACUUCGGCUCAGAUCAUGAUCUCACGGUCCAUGAGUUCGAACCCUGCGUCGGGCUCUGUGCUGACAGUUUGGAGCCUGCUUCAGAUUCUGUCUCCCUCUCUCUCUGCCCCUCCCCCACUUGUGUGCGCACGCUCUCUCUUUCUCUCUCUCUCUCUGUCAGGGAUGAAUAGACAUUUAAAAAAAAUUUUUUUUUAAUGCUUGAGAUGCUUUGUGCAUAUGUCUUUGUUCACAUCUCUCUUUUCUUAGAUUGAUUCCUAGAAGUGGAAUUGCCCAGUUCAAUGGUAUGAAAUUUUUAAAGGCUCUUGAUUCUUAUGGGCAUCAGUACUUUUAGAGGUUUCCAGGGAAUCACAAUGUGCAGCCACAGUGGAGAAUCACCGCCUUGGUUUAUGAAAUGCUUCAGAUUCAUUCUCUAAGGAACGUACCUUGAGCCACCACUGGUAGUUGCUUGGACUUGAUCCCAAUCAAAAUUCUUCACAGAUGCAACAGAUACUGACAUGACAGUUAGGAUAUCUUUAGUGCAAGGAACAUUGGCCAAUUGCACAUCACUUUAACAACAUUGCUUGUUCUCACCAAACAAGAAACCCCAGGUAUGUGGAUAAACAAAGAAUUUGAUUAGGAAGAGAGUGAAGCAAACAAUAUGUAUAAAGCAUCCCCUUUUAUUUUAUUAUUUAUUUUUUUAAUGUUGAUUUUAUUUUUGAGAGACAGAGACAGCGUGAGCAGGGGAGGAGCAGAGAAAGAGGGAGACACGGAAUCUGAAGCAGGGCUCCAGGUUCUGAGCUGUCAGCACAGAGCCCGACGUGGGGCUCGAACUCUGAACGGCAAGAUCAUGACCUGAGCUGAAGUGAGACGCUUAACUAACUGAUACCUGAGCCACCCAGAUACCCGUAAAGCAUCCCCUUUUAAAUAGCUUUUAGAACAACAAGUGUAUGUAGUAGCCAAGGAGAAGGGGACACGGAGUGGGAGAAGGAAGGAGUCUAAGUAAAUAAAUCAUAAUUUCUCAGGCCAGAUGCCUGAUGAAGUAUUUAUAAUUUAUUAUUCAUUUAAUUUGACACACAAACACACACACACACACACACACACACACAGACAGACACACAAAAUAUGUAAUAGCUAUUGCUGUAUUUUACAUGAGGUCCAAGUCAGAGAUUUGAAUGAUGUAUUCAGGAUCUUACAGUCAGCCAGCAACGGCCAGGGAACCAACAUAGUCUCAAUCCUAGUGCUUUGGGCACUUAGCCUGCCCAGGGACAGUUUAGAGACACUUGCAUCCAAUGAUCUCAAAGAUUUAUUUUAGAUUUUUUCAUUGGCUUGAGUGCCAUUUUCCAGUUUUAUGUUAAUGAUCUACUAGAAGCAGGACAAAAGAAUAGAUUUGAAACCAAGGACAUCAGCCGUAGCUUCAGGAACCAUACAGAGAUUAAGGACACUUUAGCAAAAGCUUUGACAUUUAGCCCACUAAGGCAGAAUGUGGGCCAUGGGAUCCAAAGCCCCAUCACUGCAUGACUCUCCCUGGAUUCUGAGCCCUCCAGAGUCCUAAGGCCACCUUCUUCCAGUGGAUGGGGCUGGCAUAAAAUUCAAUUGCCAUUAACUUGUUUCAUGAUAAAAACCAUGUGGCUGCCCAUGGCCCUUUUGGGUUUUUUCUUUGUUUUUUUAAAUAUGAAAUUUAUUGUCAAACUGGUUUCCAUACAACACCCAGUGCUCAUCCCAACAGGUACCCUCCUCAAUACCCAUCACCCACCCUCCCCACCCUCCCACCCCCCAUCAACCCUCAGAUUGUUCUCAGUUUUUAAGAGUCUUUUAUGGUUUGGCUCCCUCCCUCUCUAACUUUUCUUUUUCCUUCCCCUCCCCCAUGGUCUUCUGUUAAGUUUCUCAGGAUCCACAUAAGAGUGAAAACAUACAGUAUCUGUCUUUCUCUGUGUGACUUAUUUCACUUAGCAUAACACUCUCUAGUUCCAUCCAUGUUGCUACAAAAGGCCAUAUUUCUUCUUUCUCGUUGCCACGUAGUACUCCAUUGUGUAUAUAAACCACAAUUUCUUUAUCCAUUCAUCAGUUGAUGGACAUUUAGGCUCUUUCCAUAAUUUGGCUAUUGUUGAAAGUGCUGCAAUAAACAUUGGGGUACAAGUGCCCCUAUGCAUCAGCACUCCUGUAUCCCUUGGGUAAGUUCUAGCAGUGCUAUUGCUGGGUCAUAGGGUAGAUGUCUUUUAAUUUUUUGAGGAACCUCCACCCUGUUUUCUAGAGCAGCUGCACCAGUUUGCAUUUCCACCAACAGUGCAAGAGGGUUCCCGUUUCUCCACAUCCUCUCCAGCAUCUAUAGUCUCCUGAUGUGUUCAUUUUGGCCACUCUGACUGGCGUGAGGUGGUAGCUGAGUGUGGUUUUGAUUUGUAUUUCCCUGAGGAGGAGUGACAUUGAGCAUCUUUUCAUGUGCCUGUUGGCCAUCUGGAUGUCUUCUUUAGAGAAGUAUCUAUUCAUGUUUUCUGCCCAUUUCUUCACUGGAUUAUUUGUUUUUUGGGUGUGGAGUUUGGUGAGCUCUUUAUAGAUUUUGGAUACUAGCCCUUUGUCCAAUAUGUCAUUUUCAAAUAUCUUUUCCCAUUCCGCUGGUUGCCUUUUAGUUUUGUUGGUUGUUUCCUUUGCAGUGCAGAAGCUUUUUAUCUUCAUGAGGUCCCAAUAGUUCAUUUUUGCUUUUAAUUCCCCUUACCUUUGGAGAUGUGUCAAGUAAGAAAUUGCUGCGGCUGAGGUCAGAGAGGUUUUUUUCCUGCUUUCUCCUCUAGGGUUUUGAUGGUUUCCUAUCUCACAUUCAGGCCCUUUAUCCAUUUUGAGUUUAUUUUUGUGAGUGGUGUGAGAAAGUGGUCUAGUUUCAUUCUUCUGCAUGUUGCUGUCCAGUUCUCCCAGUACCAUUUGUUAAAGAGACUGUCUUUUUUCCAUUGGAUAUUCUUUCCUGCUUUGUCAAAGAUUUGUUGGCCAUACUUUUGUGGGUCCAAUUCUGGAGUCUCUAUUCUAUUCUGUCGGUCUAUGUGUCUUUUUUUGUGCCAAUACCAUGCUGUCUUGAUGAAUUCAGCAAAGCCGCAGGAUACAAAAUCGAUGUACAGAAAUCAGUUGCAUUCUUAUACACUAAUAAUGAAGCAACAGAAAGACAAAUAAGGAAACUGAUCCCAUUCACAAUUGCACCAAGAAUCAUAAAAUACCUAGGAAUAAACCUAACCAAAGAUGUAAAAGAUCUGUAUGCUGAAAACUAUAGAAAGCUUAUGAAGGAAAUUGAAGAAGAUAUAAAGAAAUGGAAAAACAUUCCAUGCUCAUGGAUUCGAAGAAUAAAUAUUGUUAAAAUGUCAACAUUACCCAAAGCUAUCUACACAUUCAAUGCAAUCCCAAUCAAAGUUGCACCAGCAUUAUUCUUGAAGCUAGAACAAGCAAUCCUAAAAUUUGUAUGGAACCACAGAAGACCCCGAAUAGCCAAAGUAAUAUUGAAGAAGAAAACCAAAGUGGGAGGCAUCACAAUCCCAGACUUUAGCCAUGGCCCUUUUGAACUCAGCUCAGAGCUUUUCCAACAACAUGUCUCUCCUCUUCAUGCUUCCCAGCCAUAGAGUCCAUCCAUUUUUCUUUCUUGUUCUAUAGCACCAAGAAAGACUUUUCUGGGCCCAGGAAAUGGAGGAAUCUUGUAGGUUAGUUAAGAUGAGCUGACUCAACAUGUUUCAGAAGGAGCUGCACUUUCCUGGUCUGUUGACAGUAUUUUUAUUAACGUCGAAAGGUCUUUUGAGAAGAGCAAAUUAACAUUGCCAUGAGAACUUCAGACUUUUCUGACAUUUUAGAGUUUUGACAUUUUUAGCCUCAGGCUUCUCUCAACAAGGUACUAAGCAUUUAAUAAAUUCUGGGAUUAGGAGCUUUCUUCUCCAGAGAGCAGAAUUAGCUGUAGUCUACAAAGACAGCGGUUGCCUAAAUGUUGAAUAAACCUAGAACGUUUUCCCCAGAUAUUCAGAACACACUUAACUCAAUGCUGCCUAUUCCUCACACUUCCUACAGCUGUCAGUGAGGACUCUUCUUCGUACACGUUCACAAAGAAACAAAAGAAUCUCCAGGCAUUUCUGAAGUGGGAAUUUUAUGUGAAAUUUUUUUAGUAUUCACAAUUUUAAAUGUGAAUAAUUCAAUUUUUAAAUCUUAUUUAUUUAUUUUUUUAUGUUUUAUUUAUUUUUGAGGGAGAGAGAGAGAGCGAGACACAGAACACGAGUGGGGGAGGGACAGAGAGAGAGGGAGACACAGAAUCCAAAGCAGGCUCCAGGCUCUGAGCUGUCAGCACAGACCCCGAUGGGGGGGCUCGAACUCAUGAACUAAGAGAUCAUGACCUGAGCCAAAGUUAGAGGCUUAACUGACUGAGCCACCCAGGCGCCCCUUAGAUGUGGAUAAAAGUGAUGUGAUCAGAAACGUCAAUUUUGGAUUUAAAAAGAAAUGACAGUUUAAUGAGUCUAAAAACUAGAUGUUCUUAAAAGAAUCAGAUGAGUCUAGAAACUGGAUAUUCAUCUUAAAAGAAGAAACAGAAAUUAUUUCCUUUUUGCAGAGACAAAAACACGCUUCUGGGUAUUACUUUGUCUAUGUCAUAUUGCUAAGUGGAUUCAAUCCAUCAUCAUCUCUGUUUGGUUCAGAUAAUGUCAGCUGCAUUGGGAGCAGCACACUUAGACUUCCCAUCAACUGAGGCAACAGCGGUGAGGACAGACUACCCAAUACACAAUACACAUGCAGCCCUGGAGUUUUCAGUGUGUACCAUCCAUCCAUCCAAAUUCACCAAGGGUGACAGUGCAUUAUCCUUCAGAAUGGUUUCCAUUUAUACAUUCUGCUAGGCUAUAUGAACAGAUGCCAAGUCUUGCAGAAAGUUACCACUCUAUGUACAACAUGGUAAAGACCUAUAAAAAAUGCUAUGCAAGCCUUUUUCUCUGUAUCAAUUCUUUUUUAAGAAUUUUUUUGUUUAUUUAUUUUGAGAGAGAGCAAGAGAGAGAGAGAGAGGGAGAGAGAAUCCCAAGCAGGUUCUGAGCUGUCAGCGCAGAACCUGAUGUGGGGCUCGAACUCACAAGCUGUGAGAUCAUGACCUGGGCCAAAACUAAGAGUCAGACACUUGACUGACUGAGCCACCCAGGUGCCCCUCUAUAUCAAUUCUGAUUAAGGUUUUCUUUUUCAAGUUAGAAUUUAGUUCUUUAUCUAAUUUUUAAAUUUUUAAAUCCAAAACUAGUAAUUAAUAUCAAAAGAGAUCAUGUGGUUUUCAUUUAAAAAAAAGCAAGGUGUCUAUUUUUACUCUGGGACACGUAAUGAAAUCUUUUUAGUUCUCAACACUGGCCAGAUCUGCAUCUGGAAGAACAAGUGUUUCCCUGCUCCUAAACGGGUGGGUGGAAAACGAAUGGCUAUUUAACACACCUAGUUCACCCUUAGCCUAUGAGGUCAGCCAAGCUGCUGGUCUGUGCUCUUGAGAACGGUCCUGCCAGAUCGGUCCUUGUGUUGGAAUUUUUCCUACAAUGUGACCAACUAAAUCAUAACUAAAGGGAUGCAGCCCAGCCUUCCCAAGGCCCCUUACCUUACCCCUCACCUCCUAACGGGCUCUGAGUCUCAGCUCUCAGGGCUUCAGCCAGUGGUGUGCUGGUAAACAUUUCAACAGCAAGCUUUCUUAACAGAAAAGCUUUGUAUUUGCUAAUUCUAUUGGUGUAAAUAAACCUACCAUGGCUGAUUUCAAUCCACCAACGUGAGAUCACUGAACACCGAAUUAGAAAGAGACGUGUGUAGUUGGUUCUAGCAAGCUGGCAUGAGCUGGCUCUAGCACGUCUCUGGCUUGAGCCCUGGAGACCAGGUCCCUGGUGACUGUGCCAGAGGCCUGCACCUUUUCUUCCUGGUGAGCAGGGCCGGGGGAGGGGCCUGGCCCACCGCUGACUUGGCCAAGCAGGAAAGUCCUCAAGGCAGAUAGCAACUUUCCCGGGCCCGGGUGCCUUGUUUAACAAGCUUAAGGACUCUUCCGUCCUGCUUCUUCCCCAGAGAUGGGAAGCAACCAGCAUCAGGGAAGAUACAGCUCACGAAUGCCGUUAGCAUGGAAUUCCGUCCACCGUGUUACCACUGCCGGCAGUCAUCACCCAGAGCGUGGUUCGCAAGUUAAAUGUGGUAGAAGUCACAUUCAAAUCACACAUCAUGGGAACUGGCUUGUCCAAUUUGAUCUAAAUUAAUAGGCAAGAAUGAUUAAAUUGUCCCAGAAAAGAAGAAGAAGAAGAAGAAGAAGAAGAAGAAGAAGAAGAAGAAGAAAAGAAAGGAUCGAGAACUCCACCAAAUGUCAAGCAAAGCAGGGGAAAAGGUGUUGAUUAGUUAGAAGUGAAGAACUUUAUCUCCCAACCUUAUCUUAAACCUACAGGUGGAGUGUGAUAUAGAUUUAGGACACCCUGGGCAUCACACAUUCAUCUUUUCCACAUACAUUUUAGCCAAAUGAUAAACAGGCCUUUUUUUCAUCGGUGGAAGAUGCAUUUAUGUUGACUUGCCUGGUGAAUUUCCUCUACAUUUUUUUCGAAGAGGGAAUUGUGAAAUGAAUCCUUGUUGUACUUUCACAGGGUUCAAGGACUGUGUGGAGGAAGGACUUUAAAGUAGUUUGCCUAUUUCUAAACUGUCUUAUCAGGACUCAUAUUCUCCAAGUUCACUGAUCCAAUCAGAAGAGUCUACUUGGAAGCAUGUUAACAAUCUAGUGAUGCUUAUGUAUUGAAAAGUAUGUUCAAAACAGGGUGUGUGUGUGUGUGUGUGUGUGGGUGUGUGUGGGUGUGGGUGUGUGUUUCUUUAGAUCUUAGUUCGUGAACCAUAUGACAAACUCAGUCAUAGUAAUGAUGUUAUGUGUGAAUUCAAGUGGCAUUUUCCAGCAGUCAUGAAUCAGACUCAUUGCCACAUUACUUUUGGUAGCAUCCAAAAAUAAAAUCCGUUUUGUAUAAGAAAGACCAGCCUCACUGGAGUUAUGGAAAAGAGGCUCCGGAAGCAUUUUUACCUGUCUUUUUUCCCCUAUUCUCUUCUUUUUGUAAACAGUAUCACAUAUGCAGGAGAGCUGUGUAAGGAAUAAUAAUAAAGCAAACAUAUAUAUACUUAACCACCUAAGUUAAUAAAUAGAAACUUACCUAGGAUCGGCUACAUGAUUAUGGGGCCCGGGCAAGAUGAAACUGAGGGGCCUCUGACUCAAGAAGCAGAAAUAAAGUGUUAUUAAAUGUACUAAAAUGUAAAGCUUUUUCCGUUCUUCCAUAUUUCUCCUCUGCUCGCGUGCACACUCCUUAGUCCAUCAGACUUCACGUACAAAACACGCCUUCCAAGAUAACAUCAUCAAGAGUUUCAAACCACCACAUCAGGCCAUUAAACCAAGUAAUCUCUCUCUAUUCAUUCAACUAUGGAUUUAAACUUUUUUUUUUUUUUUCAACGUUUAUUUAUUUUUGGGACAGAGAGAGACAGAGCAUGAACGGGGGAGGGGCAGAGAGACAGGGAGACACAGAAUCGGAAACAGGCUCCAGGCUCUGAGCCAUCAGCCCAGAGCCAGACGCGGGGCUCGAACUCACGGACCGCGAGAUCGUGACCUGGCUGAAGUCGGACGCUUAACCGACUGCGCCACCCAGGCGCCCCAUCAACUAUGGAUUUAAAUUAGAGGAGGUGGUGGUUUUAUUUCAUCCAGCAUCUCUCAGCGUUUGUAAUAGGAGGGGCAUGCAUAUUAGCUCAAUCCAUUAUAUGGUCAGAGACAGACUUCCAAUUCUAUGCUCUUUGUGCUGAAAUAAAGCAGUUUGCCACACAAGACUAACUAGGUUUUCAUAAUAAACAAAAUUUAAGCACCCAGUCAUCAAGGCUCAUUAGAAUCCCAUCAUGCUCCAGGUCCCAGGAGGAUCCCCCAAACAAAAUCAGGCCUAGAUGCCUUUGGCUUUAGAAUUUGGGGAAUGGUUAUUAAAGAGUCAGAUGUGGAACUGCACCCCUCUGUGCUUUUUUCAUUCAUUGUCUAUUAAUUUGCAAAGCUGAACCAACCAAGCCAGUACCAUGGAUUUUGUGAAUGAUAAUAAGCCUGAGAUUAUUGAAACCCUACAUAACAGCUUGUAAAUUAAUGGGAUUUCUGCCUCCUGUUCAGAUUCUGUGAGAUGUUACCUUGAGUUCAUUCAGGUCCAAGCAGGGGUCUCUCCUUCCUUUUGAGAUUCUUCUCUCCAAAGAGGCGAGGAUCCAGACCCAAUACACAGGCCGUGACCAAGUAUACAUGAGAGGUGAUGUAAAUGUGCCUCUUUAGGAAGCAGUGUAUCUAUCAAGCAGAGUGUAAGAUACGCUCUCCCCUGGCUGUGUUGCCCUGAUUGACUCUAUUUAAAAGGUAAACCCUAAAAAUACAUAGAUGUGGACUUUGGGCUUGGGAGGAGGAUGGUAAUCAUUGACAUUUACCAGACUUUUAACUGUGCCAGGCAUUUUACAAGUAUUAUAGCAUUUAGUAUUUGCCAAAACCUAUGAGAUAGAUAUGAUUAUGGUCUCCAUUUUACAGAAGGAACUGAGAAGGUAAGUAAAUUGCCCAGUUAGUAAGGGAAAGGGACUGGAUACAAAUGCCCAUCCUCCUGGGUCUUUAUCUGCCUUGACUCCAGAGACUUGAAGGCCUAGUUUAAACUUCCAUCGUGGGGCGCCUGGGUGGCUCAGUUGGUUAAGCAUCUGGCUGUUGGUUUCAGCUCAGGUCAAGAUCUCACAGUUCAUGGGGUUAAGCCCUACAUUGGGCUCUGCACUGAGAGCCGGGAGCCUGCUUGGGAUUCUCUCUCUCUGCCCCUCUUCUGCUCGCUCUCUACUCUCCCCCCAACAAAUAAGUAAACAAACAUUAAAAAAUAGAUAAACUUCCAUCUUUAGUUUCAGCACUUUCGGAAUUCUUUCCCCUAACCCUGUGGCUGUGUUCACUCCUUCUAUCGUGGCAGCCAUCACAUUGCUUUGUGAUUGUUUGUAACUUCCUCUCCUGAUAGGUUCUGAGUACUUUGAGGACAGAUACAGAAUCAUAUUCAUCUUUGUCUCUGAACACUGGGAAUGGAACCAGGCACUCAUUAAAGGAGCAUUGUCCUCAUCGGGGUCAUUUUGAUCGUAAGUGACCGAAACUCAGUUCAAGGUAGUUGAAGCAAAAGGGGUUAUUUAGAGUUUAUGUAACAAGGAAAGCUGUAGUUAAAGAAGACUGUCUUUCCACUCUCAUUUUUUGCUUCUCUGUAUUUAUAAGCUCUUCUUUUCUUCCUCUAAAGGCAGAUAGACUUAUUCCACACAGAGGAAUCAUGGCUGCAGUAUCCGCUCUCACAUAUCUUCCCAGCCUGGCCAAAGGAGAUAGCAGAGCCCCUACCAUCACCACCCAAAGACAUUCAAUCCCAAAAAGUUUCCUUAGGGUAGCGAAGGUGUCUCCUUAGCAUGGCCUGGGUCCCAUCCUUAGUUCUAAUGUGAGCUGAGUGGGGCGUUCUUGUUGGCAGCCAUGGAUAGAACUGAACAGUUGAAGCAGGGAAGAGGAUCAAUUUCCCCAAAAGAGAGGAGAGAAAUAUGAAGUUUACUGGAAGCUACCAGGAGUGUUAGGCAAACAAAACAAUUUAUCACUGCCCCGGGGCUCCAGUUUGGUUUUGUUGAACUGAAAUGGCAUUGGAACUGUGCCAGCCCCACCAGGAGAACUUGACCCCGUAUUCUCUUCUAUCUUCAUAGAUCCCCUGGUCUUACCUGAUGCUUCAUCUCAGGGGGACAAUGGGAAAUAUCUAGGUGUGAUUCUUGGAAACAGUGUGCUGUGAGGGAUAAGAAGAAAUAUAUCAGGAAAUGGGAGAAACACCACACAAAGAUGUUGUGGGGGACCAUUUUGCAGGUUUCCCUCAGGAGGAGGCUAGGUCCUGGUUAAUCCUAUGGCUGAGAUUUUACUUGAACAAAUUACUAUUUUUAAAUCUGCCACUUGAACUUUUAGCCUUGCGGUGCUUAAUAAAUCAAUGUGCAAUUUAAUAAGCCAUUGCAAACAAGGAAAAAACUGCCUCAACAUUUAUUAUUGGAAAGGUAAGUAAAGUUAGCUUAAUCCCUGAUAAUUAUAUUCUGGGCCCAAGGUGCCAGGAACAGAUGGGAAAAGACAAGACAGAAAGAAUGCAUCUGUGGUACAAGGAGUGUACCUUUUCUCCGACAGGAGAACGUUUCUAUCCUGGUAAUCCCUAGCUGGUGGAGCUGCUCCUUUUGGAGGUGUGAAAGCAGAUUCCUUUACCUCCCUCCUUCUUUCUUCCCACUGUCCACUGAGCACCAGGGGAAUACGACAAAGUAGAAACACAGUUCUUGCCUUGAAAAAACAUCUUGCAAUUACUUGGGGGGACAUGACCCCAGACAUACACAGGUGAAAGGGCAUGAGAGUAUUUGUUUUUGUUUUUGUUUUUAAUGUUUUUGAGGGUACUUGUUGGGAUGAGCACUGAGCGUUGUAUGUAAGUGAUGAAUCACGGGAAUCUACUCCCAAAGCCAAGAGCAUACUGUAUACAUUGUAUGUUAGCUAACUUGACAAUAAAUUAUAUAAAUUUUUUAAUGUUUAUUUUUGAGAGAGAGAGGGAGAGAGUGAGCAUGAGUGGGGGAGGAGCAGAGAGGAAAGGGGACAGAGGCUCUGAUGUGGGCUCUGUACUGACAACAGAGAGCCCGAUACGGGGCUCCAGCUCACAAACCGUGAGAUCCUGACCUGAGCUGAAGUUGGACGCUCAACCAACUGAGCCACCCAGGUGCCCCUGGUAUGAGGGUAUUUGUAAAGCAAAGAUGUCAUUGGGUGGAAAAUGGUUUUCCUUGGAAUGGAAGAAGUGAUGUCCUGGGGGUCAGGAGACUGGGGCUCUGGCCCUAGCUAGAGGCUUUGGAAAGUUCUGGACCUUCCUGCACCUUUUUUUUUCCUAUAAAGUGGAUAAUGUAAACAUAUUGAAAAACACAUAUGAUUCAGUAAAUGUAGCCAAUGAUGUAUUCUUGCACUUGGCUCUGCAUAUCUUUAUGAGAUACCAUUUUAAAACUAGUAUUUAAACCUAGUAUUAAAGUCAACUGACUUCAGGCUCAAGUGUUGAAAUAAGAUUUUAAGAUAGUAAUAAUAAAAAUAUACUACUAAUAAUGGACUUUUAGUUACACAACUUUCAGUAACUUGGUAUUGUAUAGAUAGCUUAAAUUAUUGUUAAAAUCUUAUUUUCCCUUUUCUCUCAUUCUUUAAAAAUAUCCCUUUUUGUGUAUAUUUUGUAUCAUACAUAAUAUAAUGGCAUAGCUGUGUAUGUGUAUGAUUUUAAAAGAACGAAUGCAAAGGCAUGGGCACAAAUGUUUAUUUCAGUAUUACUAACAAGAGACACAAUACAAAAAGUUUAGCAACUACCGUUCCAAUCCAGGUCGAUGCAAGCCCCUGGCAGGCCCUUCCCAGUAAGGCUCCUUUGGCAUUUGUAGAGUCACUUUGGUUUCACUCUCCUAGGACCUCUCCAAGGUCCUUGAAAUAUGCUUUCAUGAUGAGGCUUCACACAGAAUACAGUUUCCUUUUUUUGUUUUUUAAUUUUUUUUAAUGUUUAUUAUUUUGUUUUUGAGAGAGGGAGACAGAGUACGAGUGAGAAAGCAGCAGAGAGAGAGGGAGACACAGAAUCCAAAGCAGGCUCCAGGCUCUGAGCUGUCAGCACAGAGCCCGACACGGGACUAGAACUCAUGAACUGUGAGAUCAUGACCUGAGCUGAAGUCGGCCACUUAACUGGCUGAGCCACCCAAGUGCCCCAGAAUACAGUUUUCAAAUAAAGUCCUCAUUUUGCUGCAGGGCAAAAGCAGCCAAUGCUCUUUCAGAACUCCCAAACUACAAUUUGGACCUUGGAAAAUUGCAUGCCUUGGGCACUUAGAAUACCCAGUUUUCAAGGUGCUUCUAAGUCACCAGAGUAAUUUAACAAUCGUUUAAAAUUGCCAUGUGAUUCUUCACCUCAAAUGAGCAAUCCCUCCUCAGUGCUCUCUAUGGGGACCCAGUGUGCAUCCUGAAAUGCAGAUAGCCCAAAUGUCUUGCUCUACUGGAAGAGAAUAGAGAAAGGGAAUUUUCAAGUGUUUCUUAUUCUGCAAAGCAUGUGUCAGGACACCUUCUCUAUAUUAAGUGCCCCAUACAGUGCUUGGCAUAUGGUAAUCCCUCCAUAAAUGGCAAUUAUCGUUAUCACUCAGUGACCCACGAAUCCAGAGGGUAGCAGAAAAACAUUUUGGAUUUUAAAAAUAUAAAAAGAAUCUAACUGAGGAAGUCAAACGAUCAGUCCAGAAAUAGAAGAGAGGAAAAAAGACUUUUUUAUGAGCUUGGGUCAGGGCCAGGGACAAUAUUUUGUACCAGGAGUGCAGGAAAUCUUUAACAGAUAUAAUCGUAUACCGUUCCCCAAGUUGUAUGCCAUCUGUUUAGGAAAUGACCUAAAUACAUGAGAAAAAGCAAAAUGAUAAAAUAACUUAAUAGCAUUUAACAGCAGAAGAAAUAGCCCCAAGCACCAUGCGAUUAAUUACCAGAUAAAUCAUCAGAAACCAAAGGUGGGGAGCUCCAAGGCAUUGGCAUGCUCCAGAGCUGGGUCCUGUUUUAGGUGAUUGGUCUAUUGUGGCCAUUUAGAACUGGAGCCAUGUCUCAUGUGACCCUCAGACCAACCACACAACUGGCCCCAUAUCAAAAUAAGACCUUUUGCUGUUCUAUUCAGCAAUACAGACAUUAAGUACUUACUAUAUGCCAAGACCUGGGGUGGAUACCAGGAAUUCAAGGAUGAAUACGACUUGGUCCUGUCCUCCAGGAGCUUGUGGUCUAGUCAAGAAAACCAAAGUCAUCAUUUCAUUACAACAUGGUAGGCGGAGUGGAAAAUCAGCCUUAGCAAUGGUACACAUAUUCAAAAUACUCUCCUUUCCAUUAUUCAUUUGAUUCUGGAAACAACGCUGAGAGGUGACGAAGGCAACCAUUCUCAUUGUUUUUUUGUUUUUUGUUUUUAAUGAUUAUUUAUUUUGAGAGAGAGAGAGAGAGAGAGAGAGCAGGGGAAGGGCCAAGAGAGAGAAUCUCAAGCAGGCUCUGAGUGCUGUCAGCAUGGAGCCCAAUGUGGGGCUCAAUCCCACAAACUGUGAGAUCAUGAGCUGAGCCAAAAUCCAGAGUUGGAUGCUUACUGGACUGAGCCACCAGGCGCCCCUCCCCAUUGUCAUUGUUAUUAAGAUCUUCAUGUUGUCCAUAAAGUGUACUUUCCUAAUUUCCAGGUGUACUCCCGUAAGUAACGUCAGUUAAUUAGCUGUUGGGGGCCCUACUGCAUGCAGGACUUCACACUGGGGAUUGGGUGUACGUGGGGAAAUGCAAUUUGGUUCCAGAACUUUAAAAACAUAAACUAGGGUUGGUAAAACAGACUAUUCGAAUAAACACAUAUAAGGUAAAAAUGUCAAACAGGAAAUGAGUUAUAGUUAGUAAGUGAAAAAUGUAUUACUGGAAAUGACAUAACAGGGCGGGACAUAACUUGGCUAGGAGACAAGGAAGCUCAAAUCUGGUCUCAGGUAGCUACCCUUUCCACAUCAUCCACCUCUACAGAGACUGAGAGAGACAGACACACAUGGUAAACAAAGAAAGACAACAAAUACUUUAUUACUGAGUGGGGCUUUGACACAGCUCCUGUGAGGUGACUGGCUCAGGGAGAAUUCUCUCACCAAAGUUUAGUUUCCCAGCUCAGCCUAGAACAGAGGAAAGAGGGUCUGAUCUUGAUGCAACCACAGGUCUUCCCACACACCAAAGGGAAGCACAACGUUAAAAUCAGGAAUACUCUCCCACUGUUGCUUAACAGAGUUCUGGAAGCACAAUCCAAUGCAGUUCGAAAAAGGAACAAGAGAUACAAAUAUUGGAAAGUAAAGUGACUGUGAUUUACGGAUGGUCUGGUUAUAUUUUUAGAGAGGUAAAGAGGCUCACCCCAAAACUUGGGAGCUAAAGAGAGUAUCAAAAGGUGGUGAUUCAUUAAAGUAUACAAAUAAAUCGUUUUAAUAUAAAUAAACAAUAGCCUGUUGGGAAAUAUAAUAGAAAGAAUAUCUCCUUUUACCAUAGCAAGUGAAGAAGUAAAAUACUAAGAAAUAAAUUGUAGAAGAAAUGUGGAAAACGUAUACACAGAAAACUUUUAAAUAACUGAGCAAUAUAGCAGAAGAUUUCUCUCAUUCUGGAAACAGAAAAUAAUAUAAAAUCAAACCUCUCUGAAUUAGUGCAUAAAUGUUGUUACUUCAAUAAAAUAGUAUCUCGGAAGAGAAGGAAUUUUCCAAAAUGAUACCAGAAUUCAAAGAAAUGAAUACAAAGAAAAUUUGGUGGGGGGGGGGGGGAGGAAGGGGUAGGAAGAAUAAGUGGCCCUAACAGAUAUUAAAGCGUAUGAGUGAAUAAAAUCCCAUGUUCUUCUAGAGAGGAAAUGGCCAGAUAAUUCAAUGGAAUGGAAAAGAGAAUUCACAAAGAAAACCAAACACAUAGACUUAUUUAGUACCUUCUGAAGGUAGUAGCAUUUGAAACCAGUUGGACAAGUUAGAUCAUUUAAUAAAUUAUGAGAAAACUGACUAGCUCUUUGAAAAAAUAUAAAGCUCUAUUCCUGCCCAGCGCAUUUACCAAAAUAAAUCCCAAAUAGGGCAGAAACUUCAACAUUAAAAAAACAAACAUGGGGCGCCUGGGUGGCUCAGUCGGUUGAGCGUCCGACUUCGGCUCAGGUCAUGAUCUCGCGGUCCGUGAGUUCGGGCCCCGCGUCGGGCUCUGGGCUGAUGGCUCAGAGCCUGGAGCCUGCUUCCGAUUCUGUGUCUCCCUCUCUCUCUGCCCCUCCCCCGUUCAUGCUUUGUCUCUCUCUGUCUCAAAAAUAAAUAAAUGUUAAAAAAAAAAUUAAAAAAAAAACAAACUAUGAAAGUAAUGAAACAAAAGACGAUCUAAGAGUGGUGUAGCAAAAGACAAGAUCCAGAGCCAUAAGGCAAGUAUUGAUAAAUUGCACAACAAGAUAGUCAAACUAUGUAUGGUAAACAUAAUCAAAUGACAAAUGACAAGCUGGAAGGAAACUAUAUGCAACAUAUUUCUUGAAUGUAUAAGCUUCUUUAGUUUACAAAGAGUCUUAAAUGUUUCUUACAAAACCAAAAACAAUCUGGUAGAAAAAUAAACUAAAAAUAAGAGCAGGUAGAUGCAAAUGGUUCUCAUAAUUUUUUUAAAAAAUUUUAUUUGUUUAUUUUGACAGAGUUGGGGGAGGGGCAGAGAGAGGGAAAGAGAGAGAAUCCCAAGUAGGCUCCACGCCAAGUGGAGCCUAACCCUAACCCUAACCCUCCACCAAGUGUGGAGCCUGACGCAGGAUCAGGUUAGGUUGCACAAGCGUGCGAUCAUGACCUGAGCUGAAAUCAAGAGCUGGACACUUAACUGACGGAGCCAUACAGGCACCCCGGUUCUUAAAAUUGUUUAAAUAUAAAAACAAACAAAAAGAUAAAAAUGUUGCACCUUGCCAGUUUGCAAAAACUCAACACAUUUGGUAAUGUUCAUUGUUGAUGAGAAUCAGGUUGUCUGACAUGCGGUUGUUGAAAGCAUAAAUUGGUACAACCUCUGGAGAAAAAUGUGAUCAAAAUCUCAAAAGCAUGUGCCUUUUGAUCUGGCACGUUGCCAGACAUUUAACCCAAAAUAUAUUUGCAAAAGGACAGCCAGGUAUAUUCUUAGUAAUUCUUGCAUUGUUUAUGAUAGCAAAGUCUGCCAAUAACUUAAGAUGCCCACCAAUAAGAGACUGGUUAAAUAAGGUAUAAUGCAUUUAUAGGAUGGAAUACUGUGUGGCCAUUUUUAAAAAUGAUACAGAUCCGCACAAGAUCUGCGUAGGUAUAGCAAUAAUAACCCAAACAAAAUUUUACGUUUAAAAAGCAAAGCAUAGACCUGUGAACAUAACAUAAAAUCCUUUUUACAUUAUAAACUAUUAUUAUGCACACCUUACAGAUGAAGGAACGGAGGCACCGGAAAUUUAUCAAUUUACCCCAAAUCACACAGGUACCGUGGAGUGGAGGCAGUGUUUAAAACCAGGCCGUUUAGGGUUCAAACUAAGUUAGUGGGGGUGAGGAUGGUGGGAUCAUACAAUGAAAUUCUAUGCAGCAAUGAAAAGGAGCAAACCACACCUAAUAUACCAUGACAGCCCAAACAUGACAUUAGGCAAAAGAUGCCAGCACAAAGGAACCAUCCCUGCACUGCUCCGUUUACAUACAGAUCAAAACCAGGCAAAAACAAAUCCAGGGUUAAGUCAAGAAGGUAGUUGCUUUUGAAGAAGGAAUAGGCAGUAGCUGGGAGAAAGCGUAGAGAUGGCUUUUGGGCACCGGCAUAAUUUUCUUUCUUGAUAGGAGUGUCGUUAAGUGAGUGCUCACUUUGUGAGAAUUUUGCGUUGUAUACUUAAACUGUGUGCAUUUUCUCAUAUCUGUGUGCAUUUUACACCAGGGAGUUUAGAUAAUAAAAAGAUUCGUCCUUUGCCCACUCACUGAUCUAUCAGUAAGGCUUUGGUGAGGGUCAGCUACAAUAUAAUUUAACUGUCAGGGGGCUGCAGUAUAAGUUUCUUUUUAAAAAAAAAAUUGUAAGCGUUUUUUAUUUAUUUUUGAGAGAGAAAGAGGAACAGUGAGCAGGGGAGGGACAGAGAGAGAGAGGGAGACACAGAAUCCAAAGCAGGCUCCAGGCUCUGAGCUGUCAGCACACAGCCUGACGCGGGGCUCGUACUCAUGAACUGCCAGAUCAUGACCUGAGCACAAGUCUGAUACUUAAUCGACUGAGCCAUCCAGGCGCCCCUGCGGUGUAAGUUUCUUAUGUGGAAAAACAAAUGUUCUUGUCUCUUUUGACCCCAUGAUGCCGUGCAGCACGCUAAGUAAAAAGCAAGUGUUCUGGAACCAUUUGUCAUGGCGAAUGGAUUGGUCUUCCCUCCCUCAUAACUUGCUGGUGAGUUUAGCCAAACCAGUUUGUCUCUCUGGACAUGUGGUGAUCUCUGGAGUAGAUGAUCGGAAGUUAAUUGUCCUCCCUUCAGCUUUGAAAUUCUACUUAAUUCAGUUAAUUUUAGCUGAGCACGUUUCGUCUGUGCUAUUUAUUGUGCUCAGGACGGGAAGCCACAAAAGCAAGCAAUCAAACAGAAAUGUGGGCCGGCCCUCCAGAAGCUCAUAGCCUUGGGGCCAGCUCAGCAAGGGGCCAUUAUGAUACCGAGACAGGGCUUUGGUGAGAUGUUUGCCCAGAUGCUGAAAGAACGAGCGAGGAGUGGCUAACCCAGACUCCCAAAGGCAGGCGGCCCACAGCUGCGACACCUGGGCCCACGUGGCCUGGGCACGAAAUGCUGCUAUGUGGGAGUGUUAGCCAGGCUGAGCCAGCAAGCCUUCUCUGAGGCCAGGAAGCAGGAGGAAGCUUCUACCAGGCAGCGAGGCAGAGGAAAGACGAUCUAAAAUGAAGACUUGAGCGAACAAAAUAGAGCUUUUUUCAUGCUUAUUUUCCAGAUCGUAGCCAAUCUAAUUGUCUGUGCAAUAGAAUAGUGGGGGGCAAUGUGCGGAGGAAUAGGAGUCCAGAGUGUGGCAGGCCCAGGGCAAGAAGGGCCUUGAUUGCCAUGAUACAAAACCACAAGUCAAUAUUUACGCACCAGAAAGAGCUCCGUCUCCUCCUCCUCUAGUUACAACUUCCGGGAGUUACCCGCUGGCCAAGCGAGGCCAGGUGAAAGCAGGCUCCCAAGUGGAGAGUUUGGGAGCACCUGGCUGCCAGAGGCCUGAGGAUCUUGCUCCAAAAAGUAAAAAUCUAAGGGCUCUUCCAGACCUCCGGGGAACACAGGCCCCCUGGGAAUGUGGGUAAUUAGCACACACAGAGUCCUGAAGUUAGCUGCACUGAGGAAAGCACACUACCCGAAACUAGGGGCCUGGGUAGAAGUCCCCACCUUGGCUUUGUCGAAUCGGAAAGCAGCCAGCAGAUCCCCCUCCGGCAAAGGAUCUGUGGAUCCUGCUCACGCACCUCUCCCAAAGGCUACCGAUCCUUUGAAAGAAUGAAGGCUUGCUUUGCAUUUGGUCGGGUUCAGCAAAUGUGGCCAUUUGCAUAUAGGUAAAUUUCCCCAUAUAGACACAAAGAUCUGGCAGGUCUUCAAAUUAUUAAAUGUUAGGCAGAUUGGAACCUAGAGCUUAUCCAGCACCCAUCAGUAAAAUCAAUAUGUUUCAAGAUUUAUAUCAGAGGGGCGCCUGGGUAAGCAUCCCGACUCUUGGCUUCAGCUCAAGUCAUCAUCUUGAGGUUUGUGAGUUUGAGCCCUGCCUCAGGCUCUGUGCUGACAGCAAGGGGCCUGCUGGGGAUUUUCUCUCUCUCCCUCUCUUUCUGCCCCUCCCCUAAUUGUCCUCUCUCUCUCUCUCUCUCUCUCUCUGUCUCAAAAUAAAUAAAUAAACCUAAAAAAAACCCAGAUUUAUAUCAGAAGAGCAAGAUUGUGGUUAUUUUAAGGGAAUAGGAUACUCUUAGAGGUGGAACUGAGAAAACAUUUCAGAGAAACCCAUUUCAACAAAGCCUGGCUGCCCGCAAGCACGCCCUGAAGCUCCUCCCGGAAGGCACCCCCGAUCCCUUCUGGGGGAAGGGGCUCUGGUUCCCAGGCCCAGUGCCCUGGCCUGUUCUGCUCUUUGGAGCUGCUCUCUGGUCCUCACUGAUGAGGAGGCACUGCUGGCCUUUAGGGGGCAGGGCUGAGAGACACUUCACGAUGUCUGAUGUCCGGGACAGACCGGCCAGACGAAGGGUCAUCCCGCCUCCUGUGUGACUUUUGAGCGUUCACUACAGUGAACACUUACAAAUCACAACUGGGAGUUGCACUGGAAUAUUUAAAUUAGGAGAGAAGACAUUUAAAUGAUGAGAAAGGAAAUGUAGAUCAUUGCUAAAAUAUUGAAAAUCCCUACAAAAAACGAAGCCAGUUUCCAAAAGUCCAAUGUGGAUAUAAUCUUUUCAGAAUACCUGUGGUGAUUAAUGGUGCUAGGUUUUUUACCUUGAGGCAUUGACUUGGUGUGUGUGUGUGUGUGUGUGUGUGUGAUGGGUACACUUUCGGUGCUGAGGACUUUCAGCAGGUGGAGGUGAUCUAAUACACAAAGCCUGGUGAGGCUGCAGUUGGGACGCUCACGGAGUGAUGUCAACAUCCGAGGUAGAUUACCAGGGAGGCAGCUAGGUUCGUGGAUUGAAUGUAAGAGUGUUCAGGGUGCUGGGGCUCCCCUAGUGGGACUCACAGGGCCCUGCUUUGGGAAAACUGUGUGACAUGAGGGCAGGGACCACAGUGUCUCCUAUGGACAGCUCUGGAGAUGCUGAAGAUCUUUCCAGUCCAUUCUUAGCAUGCAUGAACAUGGCCUGGAUUGCUGGAAGGCAUUGGAACUGGGAAGAGCGAGAGGAGUAGGGAGGGGCAGGGUGAGUAGGUACCUCAAAUGGACUCCUAUAAGAGCCUGGGGAAACCCAAACUAAAGACUCCAGAGCCAUCCUCUACAGCUCUCCCUCCAUGUUCAGUGACCAGCAAGGCAUGGGGGUGUGUACUGGGUGGAAUGGUGGCCCCCAAAAGAUAUGGGACCUGCAAAUGGGACCUUAUUUGGAAAAAGGGUUUUGCAGAUGUCAUUAAGGAUCUGGAGACAAAGUCAUCCUGGGCUACCCUGAUGGGCCCUAUAUCCAGUGACACAUGUCUGUAUAAGAGACACGAGAAGGCACAGAAGGGUAGAAGGCCAUGUGCAGGUGGGGCAGAGACCGGAGUGUUGCAGCCACAGCUAAGUAAUGUAUGGAGCCCCCAGAAGCUGGAAGAGGCCAGGGACAAUUCUCCUCUAGAGCCUGCAGAGGGAGCACAGCCUUGCCGACACUUUGAUUGCAGACCUCUGGUCUCCAAAACUGUGGAAGAAUAAAUUGCUGUUGACUUAAGUCACGCAGUUUGCGGUACUUUGUAACAGCAGCCACAAGAAACUAACAUGGGGUGUGUCUGGGAACCAGGCACACCCCAGGUUCGACUUUGUAAUGCAGUGUGGGAACCCUGAGCUGUCAUCAAAGCCACCAGGGCGCUAAAAGUGCUUUCCUGGGGGAAGCAAGGAGGGGUGAUAGGAGGGAUGCGAAUUUCACAUAAGGAAAGGGACAGGGUCCAGCCAGUCAGGGACUCAUCUUGAGGUCAGUGCUGUCCACGAGGCCAGGCUCAGUCUCGCAACACCGGCUUUGCUGAGCCUCAGUUGAAAGAGAGGGUCACUAUACUGUUGGGCCUCAGUGAGGACCUCGCUGGUGGGAUGGAAUAGCAGUGUCCAGGCACAAGGUGGAAGCAGCACUGAGAGUGGCCAAAAGUGCAGGGGGCAGAGUGGCCAUAUGGUCAGGGAUCCCCAGCUACAUAGGUGGGGUGGGACCAGUGGCCACGCUUUGCAGCAAACACAGAGAACAGUGUCCCGUAGGCUACAGCCAGAACCCCGGGCCCAGUUGCGGGAACCAGCCUAACACCUGUGCAGGAAAAGGGCAAUCCAAGGCGUGGCUGUGGUCCUAGGGAUCCCAACAGAGGUGGAGGUCAUGACCACACAUUUACACUUUGGCUUACCUGGCAUAAAAAAUGAUAGCUAGGACUGAUGUAUGCUGGCUUGGGCUAAGGGCUUGGCACACUCACCAAAACCCUCUAAUCCCCAUUGUACAGAUGGGGAAACCAAGGCUUAGGGAGCGUGAGCACCUGUCGGUUGCUCCCUCCACAUGUCUCGGCUAGGAUCUGUGCGCAGGUCUGUCAGCCUCCAGACCCAAGGGCUCACACUGCCUCUCCCUGGGGGAAGAGUUCACUUUCACAGUCACUGCAACCACUCUUUGCAGCAAACCAUUUUUUCUCUUUCCCCACUUUGGAAGGAAUCUCUUCAUCUCUAUCUCAUUACACACUUACUUGCCUUAUGAAAUGGAGCAUUGCAGAUACAACCCUUGCUCAGAUGGAUGUCUCGGGGCCUUUCUCACUGGGCUGAGCACUGGGCAGUGACACCUUGGGGCUGUCCUAGCCCUGCAGUCCCAGGCCUUCAAGUCUCACCUUCUGUUCUUUUCAUCUUCCCGUUCCCAGGCCUCCUACCCUGAUGGAUGAACUUGAGUUUGUCUUUGCACCUGCCCCCAGCAAUUGUUCUCUCUCCCACCUCUGCUGUGUACCUGAAAACUAAGUAGCCACAUUUGAAUUCCGUCUGCAUUAAGAGUAAACAGUUUCUAAUAGGAGCUCAGUGUCUCUCUCAGGCAUAAGUUACAUGAAUUUGUCUCUAUACAUCCACCCUACAACCAUUGUGUUGGUGUAAAUGCCCCCCUCUCCCAGCCUGAUUCACUUUUAGAAUGGCAUCUUAACAACUGAAAUUAUUGGAUUGGGGAAUCUCUAGAGAAAUGAGAUAUUGCUAUAAUCUCCAUCGUCACUUUCUUUAAGUGAGGAACCUACCUUUCUAUUAAGUGACUCUGAGCCCUGUGACUAGCGCCUACUUUCAGGAGUCCAGAGGUCACCAUCAGGGUCCAGUGGCUCUACUGCAAGAGGGUAAGAAUGCGGGUCCCGUUCCUCACUGAGGUUCCAGGACAAGCACCCUGACGUCUAUGCACCCCCCUCAAAGAAGCUGCCUGAAAUAUUUGUGUUACCUUCUUCAUGGGAAGAAAUAGGAUUCAAGAGUUCAAAUUGUAACCCAUUAUUUUAUUGUUAAAUACAGUUAUAUACAUGAAAGUAAAGUCACUGUUGACCUCAUCGCUUAAGAACAUUAAAUGUUCCUUGCGACCCAAUAUUGCCACCUGCUGACCAAAGCAAAAACAGUGAAAUUGGGCACACAAAACAGUAUGUGCAGAAUGUGUAACAGCUAUAUCACCUUUAAAGUGAAUACGGAUUACAGCAAUUUGUGUCUCAACGCAAAAAAAAACAAAAACAAAAACAAAAACAAAAACCUAUGGGAUUCCCCAACUUCGCCCAGGCAAGCAUCAACGUCAGAUUCCUUUUCCUUUCUUGACUUCUUUAGAAAUAUGCUUCCAUGUAAAAUAAGAAACCACAAGGUUAUUUCUUUUUUAAUGUACUUUAGCCCUUACAGUUAAUAAAUAAGAACCGUAAAAAGAAAAUAAUAACGGAUGCACUCUCUGGUGAUGAGCGGAACUAGAGAAAGCAUGGCGUGUGCUGAAGAGAGACCUGCUUUCAUGGUUCCCCUCUCCCAUGUAUUAGCUGUGUUAACCUGAGCCCCGGUUUCUUCAUCUGUAAAAUGGAAAUAAGAAUACCUUAGUGUAUAGUCCUGCAGAAUAACCCGCAUUUACAUGGCUCGUAGCACAAGUACUUUAGUUCGUGUUGAUUUAGUCUUCUUUUAUUCAAGAAAAAAAUCAUUGUGUUAACGAGGCACCCAUCCACCAUAGCUCCUCUAGAACUAUCUUAAAAGAAAUACAAUUUUAAAGCAUAAAUCCCCUACAAGACUCUAAAAGUAAAAGGAGAACUCAGAUGGUAGAAUAGAUCUUUGGCCCUUUUUUUUUUUAAUUUUUUUUCAACGUUUAUUUAUUUCAGGGACAGAGAGAGACAGAGCAUGAACGGGGGAGGGGCAGAGAGAGAGGGAGACACAGAAUCGGAAACAGGUUCCAGGCUCUGAGCCAUCAGCCCAGAGCUCGACGUGGGGCCCGAACUCCCGGACUGCGAGAUCGUGACCUGGCUGAAGUCGGACGCCUAACCGACUGCGCCACCCAGGCGCCCCUGGCCCUUUCUUUUUAAACUUCAUGGUUCUUGGACAAUGAUUUUCACUGAAAACUUAUCAAAAAAUAAAACUUAGUGAAGUAAGAUUAUACUCUUAAAAACAUAGAUUUUACUUCUAAAGUGAAGCCAAGACUUUGAUCUGAGGAAGCAGACAGUUACGGAGAUCUGAGUGCCUGACGGCUCGAUGAGCCGUCAAAAUCAGCAAGCCUCCAAGAGGGGACUAGUAUGUAGGUCUUCAAAAGAAAAAUGUUGCCUUCGGAGAGCCAAGAUGACUUCCUUGAUAUCUUUAUCUGUUAUCCUGACGUGAAGUACCUCCUACGAAAAGUAUUAUAAUUAUUUAUUUUAAUUUAACAGAUCAGUAUAGUCCCUAUUAAUAGUGCACCAGUUAAGAUAUUGGAGUCAGAUUGAUAGGCUCAGAUUCCAGGCUUGAGCAAGCUACCCAAAUUCCCUCUACCUUCCUUGCAGGGUUAUUACUAAGGUUGAUAAAUCAGUGCAUGCGAUUGCAUGCAGCUGGAACAGUGCUGGGCCCAGAGCAAGUACUCAGAAAUGUUGUUUAUGUAAAGAUAUUUUGUAACAUGGGAGAUGCCAUUCUGAGAUAACUUGGAUGAAACAAGUGCCCAAAUGAGAACUCACAUGUGAAGUGCUCACUAUAUGUUAGCUACUGUCCUAUUGAUAGCAGUAUUAUAAUAAAUAAUAAAUUGAAAUAAAGAAUCACCUCCCAGGCUUGUGCUAGAUGCACAAAGGUCUGGAGGGGAGAAAUGAAAAUACGCUAUUGGAAGGUCUGUGUACUGUAGGUGAAGUGAUACAGUAUCGCUGGAAGGUAGAUGGAUAAAUUAAAUAUAUACUCUAACUCCUAACACAACCACUAAUAAAAGAAAACAAAGAAUCAUAGUUAAUCAGCCAAUAAAUGGAAUCGCUAAAAAUAUUUAAGGAAUCCAGGGGUGCCUGAGUGGCUCAGUGGGUUGAGCAUCCAACUGUUAUUUCAGCUCAGGUCAUGAUCCCAGGGUUGUGGGAUCGAACCCUACAUUGGGCUCUGUGCUGAGCCUGGAGCCUGUUUAAGAUUCUCUCUCUCUCUCUCUCUCCCCCUCUCCUUCCCCCCAUCCCUCUCCCCAACUCAUGCCCUCUCUCUUUAAAAAAAAAUAAAAUAUAAAAUAUUUAAGGAAUCCAAAAGAAGACAGAAAAAGAGAAAAGAAAGAAGACCAAAUGGUGAAACUAGAGAACAAACAGUAAGAUGGUCAAUUCAAACAAACUAUACGGAUCAUCAUGUUACAUGUAAAUGGUCUAAAUACGUACAGAGACUGUCAGAUUGCAUUCGGAGGGAAGACCCAACUGUAUAGGGCCUUUCAUAAAUACGCUUAAAAUAGAAAGGCACAGAUGGGAUAAAACUAAAGAGAUGGGGAAAGCUAGACCAUGCCAACACCAGUCAAAAGAAAGUUGAGUAGCUAUAUUAAUAUUAGAGUGUAUUUCAGAGCAAAGAAUAUUACCAGGAAUUUUAAAAAGGCAAUUUCUUAAUGGCAAACGGGUCAGCUCCUCAAGAGGACAUAAAAAUCCUAGAUGCUUAUGUGUCUAAUAAUAGAGAUUCAAAAUACACGAAGCCAAAACUGACUGAACUUUAAGGAGUAAUAAAUCCACAAUUACAGUCUGAGAUUUCAAUGUGUCCCUCUCAAUAACUGAUAGGACAGGUAGUGAGCAAACCAGUGAUGAUACAGAGAGUUUGAACAGCAUUAGCAACCUGCUCGACCUGACAUUCAUAGAACACCACCAACAGCAGAAUAGACGUUCUUUUCCAGUGCACACAGAACAUUUACCAGAAUAGACCAUAUUCUGGGCAACAAAAUAAGACUCAAGUAUAAAAAGACUCAAGUCACACACAUUAUGUUUCCUGACCAUGAUGAAAUUAAAUUAGAAAUCAGUAAUAAAAAGAUCUCUGAAGUCCCAGGGAUGUGGAAACGAAUAAUACACUUUGACUAACCCCUGAGUCAAGGAAGAAAUCAAAAGGCAAAAUAGAACUUAAUGAAAAUGAAAACACAAAAUGUAUGGGAUUCUGCUAAAGAAAUACUUAAAAGGAAUCUCAUAGCACCAAAUCUUCAGAAAGAAGAAAGCUGUCAAAGAAAGGACUUCAGCUUUUAUUUCAAGAAACCAGAAAAAGAAGAGCCAAUGAAACCCAAAGAAAGGUGAAGGGGAAAAUAAUAAUAAAGAUAAGAAUAAAAAUCAAUGAAAGAAAAAAAUCUAGAGAAGUAAUAGAGAAAAAUUGAUGAAACCAAAAGCUUUGAGGAGAUCAAUGAAAUUGAUAAAUCUCUAGCGAAACUGAUCAGAAAGAGAAAAAACACAAAUUACCAAUAUCAGGAAUGAGAGAGGUAGCAUUGCUACAGAUCCUGCAGAUAUUUUAAAAAAUAAUAAUGGGAUAAUAUAAACAAUUUUAUGAACAACUUAGAUGAAAUGGACAAAUUCCCCGAAAAAUACGAACUAACAACUCACUCGAGAAGACACAGAGAACCUGAAUAGCCCUAAAUCUACUAAAGAAAUUAAAUAUUUAGUUAAAAACCUUCCUACAAAGAAACUUCCUGGCCCAGAUGCUUGUUUAGUGAAUUCUCUCAAACAAACACUUAAGGAAGAAAUAAUACCAAAUCGACAUCAAAUCUUCCAGGAAAUCCAAGGUCUAAGGCUUACCAAUUCAUUUUAUGAAGACAAUAUUACCCUGAUUCCAAAAUCCGACAAAGACUUUAUAAGAAAACUACAGAGGAAAAAAAAAUGAAAGGAAGGGAAGGGAAGGGAAGGGAAGGGAAGGGAAGGGAAGGAAGGAAGGAAGGAAGGAAGGAAGGAAGGAAGGAAGGAAGGAAGGAAGAAAAGAGAAGAAAAACUACAGACCAAAAUCUAUCAUAAAUACGGUUGUUAAAAUUCUAAAUAAAAUUUUAGCCAUUCAAAUCCAACAAUACAUAAGUCAUGACCAAAUGGGGUUUAUCCCAGAUGUGGAAGAUGGGUUUAAUAUUCAAAAAUCAAUCAACAUAAUUCACUAUAUUAAGAAAUUAACAAAGAAAAGCCAUAUAAUCAUCUCCAAACAAACAAAAAAAAAGGAUUAACAAAACUCCAGUAUUCAUUCCUGAAGUCUGGGUCAUAUGUUAUGGCUGCAAAGUUUCCUUCCUCUCUGCUCCUGAGAACUACCCCCACUCCCACCCCAUCCACCACCACCGUCAUCCUUUCCCACUUGGCCUCUGAGAGUCCCGGCCCCUCUCUCACUAUCUGCCCCAGGUGCCCACAGGGGCUGAGGAACCUGUUACCGUGAAGAAGGCAAGAAGAAAGAUUGGGGAAUAAGUGGCCAUCUGACAGCCAUACAGUGUUCUCUUUAGUGUUUGGGUGUCUGCCAGUGGAGAUGCACCAUUUCUUAGUGAAUUCUGUAUCCCCAGAAUCUAGCCCAGUGCCUGGCACAUAGUAGGUGCUCAGUAAGUGCUUACUGAAUGAAUGAGUCACAGAGCACAAACCUUCCAUUGUAAACUCAGUAAAGAUAAAGUAAAAUGCAUUUUAUGUAAGUAGUGCAUUGAGGAUACUCAUUACCUUCAUUCUAAUCUCAAAGUCUAAAUGAGUUCUCAUUUCUUUAACAAUGGAAACCUUUGCAUUAAAGCAAUAGACAAGAGGCAGAAAACAAAAAGACUAUACUUAAAGAUGAGCUUAAUCUCCCCUUCUGAGUUCUGAUUUCACCCUCCUCCUUUACUCAAGACAAACACAAACCCCUAAAACCUUAGAAGGAAGUUGUCUUUCUGUUGCCACCAUGAUUGUCUGCCUGUCCCAGGCAAAGGGUAGCACCAAUCAAGGAGAGGAGAGGGGGGAUGGAGAUGAGGUUAAUUUUGGUUUUACAGUGUCCAGGAACAUGGUAUUAAAGAAAACACUGCUGGCAGGAUAACAAAGCAGGGUUUGGAAAAGCUUCCUCCAGGCUCUGCCCAGCUCCCUCGCUCUGGCUCUCGCUCUGGCUGUGUUCUCUCCUUUGCUCCUCACAGAGUUCAGUCUAGUGAGAAGGGUGAACGAUUACAAUUCAGAAUGAUGCGUAACGUCCUGGGGUGUGGUCAAGAUGUUCAGGGCACAGCAGAGUUGGCAGGUGGAGUGGCUGGGGGGCCUCCAUGGAGCUGGUCAAGCUUCAGAAGAGAUUGGAGCGCGAAUGAGAAUUAGCCAGCCGUAGGAUGAAGGCAGGGGGUGGUUCUAGACUUAAAAACAGUUAAAGCAGGAGGCAGGAGAGCACUGGCAUACACACCCAGGGAACUCCUGAUGGUUCAGUGAGGCCCUUGUGGAAGCUGCCACAUGGGGCAGGAGCUAGGCUCACCAUGCCAAGGAAUUUGGAUCUCAUCUCUUGGUGAUAGAGAGACAUUGACAAGUUUUAAGAAAAGGAGUAACAUCAUUGGGUUGGGUCAUGGAGGCAUUCUGGUAUGAAUGGUAUAGGGGAUAAAAGAGGGAAGACUAGUGUAAUCAUCCAAGAGAGAUAAGUGAAGGACCGGCCAGGGCAGUAACGGAGAGGAAUGGAGUGGGGAGGAGGGACUUGGGAACUGAGGGGGAAUCUGACAGGCUUUGAACAAUGAUGAGCUCUAAGAGAGCGAGAGAGGAAAAGUGGGCAAAGGUGGUUUUCAAAUUUCUGACAUGAGCCAUUUCAAGCUUGAUGGUGCCAUCACAUUUUAGGGAGGCACGGUUGGGGAGCAGAGAGACUUCAUAAGUGGCGAGUCUGAUUUUGUCACACUGAGUUUAAAAUAUCUGAGAGAUGACCAGGUGCGGUGUCGGGUAGGCAGUUGGAUCCUCUGUCUAGCUCAGGAGAGAUCCAUGCUGGUGAGAGAUAUCUAACACCCGAUAUCUGUUCAAGGUUCCCAGGAAGCAGGCCCUGAGAUGAGAAUUCAUGUGCAAGUGGUUUGAUCAUGGAAGUGCUCCCAGAAGACACAUGUAAGGGAGUGGGAAGUAGGACAGGAGAAGGUAGGAAGCCAAGGGCAUUGGUUUCCCAGGGCUUCCCUAACAAAGUGCUGCCAUCUGAAUGGCUUGUACAGCAGAGAUGUAUUAUCUCAUGUUCCAGAGGCUAGAAGUCCAAGGUCUUGGCAGGUUGGUUCCUUCCGGGGGCUGUGAGGGAGAAUCUGUUCCACGACUCUCUCUCAGCUUCUGGUAGUUUGCCGGCAAUCUUCGGUCUUCCUUGGCUUGUAGAUGCUUCACCCCAAUCCCUGCCUUCACAUUCCCCUGGCAUUCUGCACAUGUGUACGUCUUUGUGUCCAAACUUCUCCUUUAUACAAGGAUGCAAAUCAUAUUGGAUUAGGGCCCACCCUUCUCCAGUAUAACCUCAUCUUAAUUAAUUAUACCUGUAACUACUCUAUUUACAAAUAAGUUCACAUUCUAAGGUACUAGAGGUCAGGACUUUAAUGUGUGAAUUGGGUGGUGGGUGCAAGGGGGGGGGGCACAAUUCCACCCAUAACACCAAGCAGGGGGGAGAUCUCAGGCAGAAGGCUCUGCAAGGCUCAGCCUCAGCCUCAACCUCAGGGGAACCGUGAGCAUGAGGAAUGCCUCACAGUUGUCCCAACCUCAGCUGGGUGUUUGUGCUCCUUCUACAGUCAGUGGCUAAUGGUCUUGAGACUAUGGAGGAGGGGAUGGGGAACCCCUGAGCACUUCCAGUGCUGUCUUUGUGUAGUUAAACAAUAAUUAAAGAUAGCAAUAAGUUAGGGGACCCAAGAGGAUCAGGAAGCAUGACAUUGUCUGCUACAAUAAUCAUCAGGAGAAAAGGUCAUCACAGUUUGCCAAAGGAAGGGCUGAAAGCCAAAGACUCACAUUCCAGAAGCAGGAAGAACAAGAGGGACAAGGAACAGAGUAAGUGGAGUGAAGGAGCUAAGAAUUCGGGUGAUGAAAGCAAGCACUCUAUUCUUACAGUGAUUUGGGUUCCCAAUCCAAAAAUCGAGACAGCUGGCCAACUAGACAUGGUUGGAGACAAAAGGAUAUUUUAGAAAUCAGGACUGAAAAAUCUGAAAAUAUCUAUGAUUGUCAUAUCUGGGCUUGGCGGGUGCUGGGAACUUGCUGGUGAAACGCACGAACCAAGAUGAGGAACACGAAGCCUCCUAUUCCAAUCUGCUGAUGUCAUUUCAUGAUGGUCAACAGUGUAAGAAUGCACAUUUUCUGAGGUUGGAUUCUAGCUAUUGGGAGUUUGAAUGAUAAAACAGCACUGACUAGUCUGAUGGUGACUAAAUUCAGUCGUAUUUAAAAUAACAAUGAAAGAAAACCAAAAAGACCUGAUUUGAAAAACAUCACCUGAGAUAAGAAACCGAUUUGACGCGUGAACACACUCAUCGUAUUUCCAGGUCUGACCAGCACAUUUCUAAUCAAACCACAAAAAAAAAAAAAAAAAAAAAAAUCUCUUCAAAGACAGAACCAUCCAGGAGAUGAAAGUCGCAAGAAUAAGCAUUGUUUUUACAUACUUUAAAAAAAAAGAUAUGUGCUUCUCAAGUGCCUGGGUGGCUCAGUCAGUUAAGUGUCUGACUCUUGGUUUUGGCUCAGGGCAUGAUCUCAAGGUUCAUGAGAUCAAGCCCCACGACAGGCUCCAGGCUGACAGUGGGGGCCUGCUUGGGAUCCAGUCUCUCUCUCCCAAAAUAGAUAGAUAGAUAGAUAGGUAGAUAGAUAGAUAAGAGGUGUGCUUCUCAGAAUGAUUUGCUAAAUAAGUAAUUAUCCAAGGGACACCAUCCUUACCCUAACCAUUAGUCUGAGAUGGGAAAGGGUCCCGGGGAACACCUGGCAGCUGCUGCCUCAGGAAGGGAUAUCGGAUGCUAAUUGGUAGGAACGAUGGAUGUCCAAUGAAGGAUUUGUGAGUAGAGACCUCCCCUAGAGACAGACUGAAGGGCAUAUGGAUCCAGAAGAGCAACUCGGUGGACGUCUCUCACGGCAGAACGGUUUAUAAGGGGCUACCUUCGUGGUUCUUGUACCUGAUAAGAAAUACAAAAAACCCCUGAAAUAUUGCUGGCAGUUACUAUUUAAGGAUUUACUUGUUAAGUUGCUAAGGAAGUUACAGAAAACAGAUGGACCAUACUACUCAGGAGAUGAAAUCUUAAGAGUUCCUGGGGGUUAUGGGGCUCCGUUUCCAUCCCUCCCUCACUCCAUCUGGACUUUGAUGUGGGCUGUGGCAAAAAUACCACCACUUUCCUGCAGAACUGCAGAGUUUAAAAUAUGGCAAUUUCAUGCAGCUACAUUGAUGAUAUACCUCAGUUAGUGUCUUAGAUGUCAUACUUGUCUAAGGACCUUGCCUUUCAAUUCCUUUCACAGUGGCUGGGAAGUAAACCUUUAUGAAGUGAAUAGAAGAAAAUAUCAACUAGUAAACAAGCAGUUGACACGUAUACAUCAAACUCUGGGUUAGAUGCUUAUACGUGUAAUUUCACUUAAUCUUCAUGAUAAUCCUGAAUUGAUGAUCAGAGACGUGUCUUCAAGAAACUAUGGCUCUAGUUUGGGAAAUAAAGCCAAAAAGAGAAAAAUUAAAUGAUAAAAACAACAGGGUACAACAAUACAAAAUAUUCAUUUAUUCAUUCAAUAAACAACAUUGUGUUAGGUGCCUGCUACGUGCCAUGCACCGUCCUGGGUGCUGGAGAACCAAUGGCGAGGAGCUCAUGUUCUUUUUUUUUUUUUUAAACGUUUAUUUAUUUUUGAGAGAGAGAGAGAGACAGAGACAGAGCAUGAGUGGGGCAAGGGCAGAGAGAGGGAGACCCAGAAUCGGAAGCCGGCUCCAGGCUCGGAGCUGUCAGCACAGAGCCUGACGCGGGGCUCGAACUCUUGAACCAUGAGAUCAUGACCUGAGCCAAGGUCGGACGCUUAACCGACUGAGCCAUCCAGUUGCCCUGAGGAGCUUAUGUUCCACUGCAGGAGAGAUUUGAUGACAAGGUAAACAGAGAAAGUGUGUGGGGACAAGUUAGAUAGUCAAAUUUCUCUGGAGAACCCAAGGCCACCUAGAGUAUAAUGUCAAAUGAACUUCCAUAAAGAGGAAGAGGAAGAGGUGGCCUGUGGCUGGGCCAUCAAGAGGGAAUUCCCACAGGAAGAGAACUUGAGUUUGUUCUCAAAGGAUGAGUAAGGUGUAAUUCAAAGUCACAAGGUUAGUAGCAGAGCUGAGAUUUGAGUCCAGGCAGUGUGAUUUGCAGAGUAAUACUUUUAACCAGGGGUUGGCAAGCUAUGGCCCAUGGGCCAGAUUUGUUCCACUGUCUGUUUUGGAAAAUACAACUGUUUUUCUGAGAUUGAGAGAGAGGUCACAAGUGAGUGAGGGGCAGAGAGAGAGAAUCUCAGGAGGGAUGGGGCAGGGGGGUCGGGUGAAGAGAGAGAGGUGGGCCUCACCCAAAACGGGGCUUGUGCUCACCUGAUGCAGGGUUGGAGCUCACCCACUGUAGGACUCGAACUCAUGAACCAUGAGAUCAUGACCUGAGCCAAAAUCAGAUGCUGAACUACUGAGCAACCCAGGCGCCCCUGAAAAUACAAUUUCACUGGAAUAUAACCAGGCCCAUUUGUGUUGACUAUGGCUGCUUUUGUGCUACAAGGGCAGAGAGACUGUGUCCCAUAAAGCCUAAAAUAUUUACUGUCUGUCCUUUACUGAAAAGUUUGUUGACCCCUGACCUUAACCAUCUCACCCUAGUGCUCCUAUGGGCUAGGUGGGCACGAGGGAGACAAUGAUAAACCAAAUGGACCCUUCCCUGAAGGAAACCACAGUCCAGUUAAAAUAAGGAUCCUCCCCAGGGCAUCCUGCUCUCACUGGGUAACGUAAAAAUAAUAAUUAACAAACAACAAUGCGGCGGUAGUAACAAUGAUAAUCAUAGCAAACAUUAAUGAGGACUCACUGUCUGCCAGGUACAGUUUAUAGAUCUUUACACAUAUGAAGUCACUGCAUCCCCCCAACAAUCCUGCGAAACAGGCACUCUUAUUAUUGUCACUGUAGGCAGGAAGAGGUUGAAGUACAGAGUUUAACAGCAUUACUCACUGAAAGUUGGGAUUAUAAAGACACAAGCAGGCAUUCUGGACAAGGAGAAGAAUGCAGGGAAACAAGAAAGACAAGCACCAAAUUAUGGCAAUGCAGGCUUCAACCUCCACACUAAUGGGUCAGGGCAGUGGCUCCCUGGUCAAUUAGAAUUAGAAAUGUAGAAGAUACCUUUUAUUGAAGGACCUGAUCAUUAGAAGAAAUCUAUUCAGACAAAGUCUGUGGCAGUAAAUCUCACCAGGAAGUACCCUACUUCACCAUCAAACCUUAAUUUCUCAUAAAUGGGAAUCUAAGCGGAGUCUCGUGAGGAAGAAUGCCAGCAUCUCUGAAAUCACUGUUGUGGACAAAACUUUUGCUUUAGAAUAGCAACUCACAUCAAUAGGUGCUCAGUAAAUGCGUCUGGAAUUGAAGUAUAUUCCUAAAGCACAAAGAUGGAAUGUUCUUCUAACCAUUCAUUUCCUGUAGCAUCAGGAAUGACUCACAUGAGCUCGAAUGGCUCAAAUGGCUCACGUUGUUCCUGUACCAUUUCAAAAUGAGGAGAAGAAAAGGAGCUUAUCUCUAUUCAAGUGCCGAGUACUCUGCUAGGUGAUUUACAUCCCCAGCAUAUUACCAGGUUUAAUACAAAUUUUGAAAAUAUGAGGAUUUUUGCUUCCGUCCAGGGGCCAGAUUCACCCUCUUACCUUAAGCAACUGGAUAAAUGGACAAAAUAUAUGAAAUGAUGUCUUUCAGACAUUAAACAAUAGGUACUACAGGGCAGUGAUCACUGAGAGAAUGGAAACAAAGGAGGUGAGUCCUAUGAGUAUCCGAGCUUGGGACUUGGAAUAAGUUUACAAGUGCAGUGCAGUGAAGAUGGCCCCAAACAGAGUCUAAUAGUCUCACUGAGUUGAGAAGACUGAAUUCAGAGCACAGGGAGGCAAAAAUGAUAAACUUUGCAGAGAUAAUGCUGGAGAAAACACACGCAGCGAGAGAGAGAGAGGAGAGAGAGAGAGAGGACACUUCAAAUUUCUUCAGAGGGAUCUCCUUGUAAUCUUUGGUUGUGUUGUCCUGAUCUCCAUAUGCAUGUAAGGAAACCACUGAGCAGGGAGGGGGAAUAAUCCCUGGAAUAGGGUAGAUAUAACAAUUCCAAGAGUUCUAACAAAUCCUAGAUGACUAGAUUAGUUCAUAUACACUAGCCCAAUUGGGAAAUCUUCCCGUGGAGCACUGGAUAGUCAUCAUAGGGUGUUCCUCGAUAGUGGGGCCAAAUAAGUUCUAGAUAAAAGACUAUUCUAACCAUUCCUUCCUAACUAAUCGUAAAUCAAGCUUCGAAAGGAUCGGACUCUUCCGAAGUGACGUAACUGAAUUCCAGAACAAAGCCCAACAAUAUUUAAAGAAUAUAUCAAUAUAUCCAGCAUCCAAGAAUGUAAAAUUCUCUAUAUCUGGCAUCUAAUAAAAAAUUACCAAACAUCAGGGCACCUGGGUGGCUCAGUCAGUUAGGCAGCCGACUUUUGAUUUCAGCUCAGGUCAUGAUCUCAGGGUUCAUGGGUUUGAGCCCUACAUUGGGCUCUGUGCUGACAGUGAAGAGCCUGCUUGGGAUUCUCUCUCUCUCUCUAUCUCUCUCCCUCUCUCUCUGCCCUCCUCCCUUGCCUCUCUCUCUCUCAAAGUAAAUAAAUAAACUAAAAAGAGAGAGAGAGAUUACAGGUCCACAAACUUUAAAAAAAAGUACUAGACAUGGAAAGAAGGAAAAUACAAGUCAUAAACCAAAAAAAAAAAAAAAAAAAGAACAAUUAUUAAGUGAAACAUACACAGAAAUAGCAUAGAUGAUAGAACUGAAUUAACAGAUAUGAGUGGUACAUGAGCUAUUAAAAAUACAAUCCAUGUUUAAAAAGUCAGAGGAAAACAUGAUGUGACAAGGAGAGAAAUGAGAGACAUAAAAAGACCCAAAUGGAAUUUCUUUUUUUUUUAAGUGAAUUCAUUUAUUUUAAGAGAGAGAGAGAUUGAGUGUGCACAUGAGUGGGGGAGGGGCAGACACAGAGGGAGAGAGAAUCCCAAGCAGGCUCUGUCCUGUUUAGUGCAGGGCCAGACAGGGGGCUGGAACUCACAAACUGUGAGAUAAUGACCUGACCUGAGCUGAGAUCCGGAGUCAGAUGCUUAACCGACUGAACCAGCCAGGUGCCCCCCAAAUGGAGUUUCUAAUAUAAAAAGUGCAUAAUCAGACAUGGAAGAAGAAAAUGUUAGCAUAUUUGAAAACAGAACAAUUGAAACUAUAUGAAAUGAAACACAGAGAGGAAUAAAACUGAAAAAAAAAGAGUGUAAGAACAGAGUGUCAGUAAUCUGUAGAACAAUAUAAAUUGGCCUAUAAAUUGAAGUUCCAAAAGAAGAGAGAAAGAGUAUUAUAAGUUAAUUGUGCCUGCCCUCCCCAAUUCAUAUGUUCAAGUCCUACCCCCAGUACCUCGGAAUGUGACAUUUUUAGAGAUAGUUUCUUUAAAGAGGUAUUAAGUUAAAAUGAGGUCAUUAUGGUGAGUCAUACUCCAAUAUGACUAGUGCCCUUAUAGAAGAAGAGAAAAUUUGGACAUAGACAUGCAUAGUGAGAAAACCAUGUGAAGAUACAGGGAAGACAUCCAUUUACAAACCAAGGUGAGAGGCCUCAGAAGAAACCUGCUUUGGAUUCUGUGUCUCCCUCUCUCUCUCCCCCUCCCCUGCUCAUGCUCUGCCUCUCUCUGUCUCCCAAAAAUAAAUAAAUUAAAAAAAAUUUUUUUUAAGUGAAUUUAAAGGCACCUGGGUGGCUCAGUUCGUUAAGCUUUGACUUCAGCUCAGGUCAUGAUCUCACAGUUCAUGCGUUCGAGUCCUGCAUCAGGCUCUGUGCUGCCAGCUCAGAGCCUGGAGCCUGUUUCAGAUUCUGUGUCUCCCUCUCUCUGCCCCUCCCCUGCUCACACUCUGUCUCUCUCUCUCUCUCUCUCUCUCUCUCUCAAAAAUACAUAAAUAUUUAAAAAAUUCUUUUAAAAAGUGAAUUUAGCAAGAUCACAGCAUACAACAAUAUAGACAAAUUAUUUGUAUUAUUAAAUACAAUCAUAACUGUAAUUAUUAAAAAUGCCAUAGGCAAUAACAUUAAAAUAUUAAAUUCUUUAUUCGAAAUUUCAUAAAACAUGUAUAAGUCACGUACACUGAAAAUCAUGAACCAUUACUGAGAAAAAUUAAAGAAGGCUAGAUAUACCAUAUUCAUGGUUCAGAAGACUCAAUAUUGUUGAGAUGUCAAUUCUCCCCAAAUUUUGGUAUAUAAAUGCAACACAAUUUCAGUCAAAAUCCUGGCAGGCUUUUGUGGAAAUUGACAUGCUGGUUCUAGAGUAUACAUGGAAAUGCAAAGGAGGUACCAUAUGCAAAGCAAUUUUAAAACAGAAGAACAUCUGAGUUAUACUAGCUGAUUUCAAGGUGUGUUCUAAGUCUACAGCGAUGAUCAAAAGUGGUAUUGAUGUAGAUAGGUAUAUAGAUCCUAGAAUAGACUAGAGAAUUCAGAAAUAGAAAUGUGCAUGGCCAUUUGGAUUUUGGCAAAGAAGCCAAGGCAAUUCAAUGGGGAAAGAAUAAUCUUUUCCACGGGUGGGGCUGAAAUAGUUGACUAUCCUUAUGUAAAAGAAAAAAAAAGAAAAGAAAAAUGAAUGUUGACCCUUAUCAUACACUAUAGAUAAAAAUUAACCCUGAAUGGAUCCUGUGACCUAAGGGUAAGAAAACCUUCAAAGCUUUUCGAAGAGAACACAGGAAAAAUUUUAGUGACCUGGGUUGGGGAAAGAUUUCUUACCUUGGACACAUGAAACAUGAACUACAGAAGAGAAGGUUAAUAAAUUAGACUUCACCAAAAUGAACAACUUUGGUUCUUCAAAACACAUUGUUUAAAAAUGAAAAGACAAGCCACAGAAUGGGAGAAAAUAUGUGCGAAUCAUGUAUCAGAUAAAAGACUGUAUCCAGAAUAUAUAUAAAGCAGUAUUACCACUCAAUAUAGUUCAGAAAAGGAACUACUCAAUACAAAAAAAAAAAAAAUGGGCAAAAUAUUUGAACAGACACUACACCAAAGAAGACACAUAAAUGGCCACUAAGCACAUAAAAAGUGUUACCAGAGAAACAAAUGACAAUCAAAACUACAAUAAGUUACUACUGCAAACACAUUAGAAUGGCUAAAAUUUUAAAAGACACAUAACACCAAAUGGUGGUGAAGAUGUGGGGUAACUGGCACUCUCAUACAUUGCUGGUGAGAAUGUAAAAUGAUAUCACCAUUUUGGAAAACAUUUUUUAUGGAGUUAAACGUACACCUGCCAUAUGGCCAGCACUCUCACCCUCAGGCACUUACAUUGCAGAAGUGCAAAUGUAUGUCUGCCCAAAGUCCUGUAUACAAAUGCCUGUACUAGCUUUAUUCAUAAUAGCCAAACACUGGAAUUGAAUGUCCAUCGACUGGUGAACAGACAAACAUAUUGCAUAAUAUUCACAAAAUAGAAAACUACUUAGCAAUAAAAAGGAAUGAACUAUUUAUUUUAUUUUUACUUCAGGCUAAUCAAGUGAGGCAGCAGGCGGGGAGAAGAAAGAAAGAAACCUGUCACUGGUUGUGACAAUUCAUUAUAAAGACCACUGUACUUGAACUGGCCGGGAAGAGACUCUUGAUAAUAGCAACAACGUGGGUGAAUUUCAAAAGCAUUCCGCCAAGUCGGGGUGGGCGGGGCGGGGGGGGGGGGGGAGAAUAGAACACAAAGAUUGUAACACUGCGUGUUCCUUGGGAUCAUGACCUGAGCCCAAGUCAGACGCUUAACCGACUGAGCCACUCAGGUGCCCCUCAUGAUUUAUUUAAGUAACCGCUACACCCAAUGUGGGGCUCGAACUCACAACCCCAAGAUCAAGACUCUCAUGCUCUUCUGAGUGAGCCAGCCAGGCGCUCCCAGGGGGAAACUUUUUAAGGUGAUUAUGCUCAACAUCUUUACCGCGGUGUUGGUUGCACAAUUAUAUGUGUAAAACAAAGCUCAUCAAAUUGAACACUUAAAAUUGGUAAGUUUUUGUUGUAUGUAAAUUAUACCUUUCGUAAAAGUGACCUUGCCCCCAAAUGAAGCAUGUGUCAUCCCCAGUCCACAGCUGAAGAAACUGAGGCAUAUAGAAGGUAAGGAACAUGCCUAAGUCACAGAACUAGCCGGUAGUGGGGCUGGGAUUCAAACACAGGUGUCCAUUUGAGUCCGUAGCUCAUCUUUUCUCGUCUGUGUUUCGCUUCCUUCCUUGCUAUUCAUUGUAUAAAUAAUUAUUAAAGGAUUGUAUUAAAAGCACUUAAAAACUAGCAGAACAGGACCUGUAUUAUGAAGGCCCCUUGCCCAAGAAUGUCUGGCAGUCUUCCCCUUGUGAUUCUUACUUCGAAACCCUACCCUCACCUGGCUUCGUUUGGAGGCAGUACACCCGCACAGGGCGUGUGUGUCCUCCCUCUGGGACUGUCGGGUUUCUCGAAGGCGCUGCCGUGCCCACACUGCCUGCCUCGCCCUCCACCUUCUCCUCAGAUCCAAGUCUUAGCUUCCCUUACCCCAGCCUCGAAUUCACCCCAUCCCAUGUGCAGCAUUUACACUUGUAUUUACCAGCUCCACGUGUUUGUUCUUAUUUAUCUUGUUCUUUCACCUGCAGGCCUACGGAGUCCCUAACUAAGCCAGAAGCGUUGUGGAAUGCUGCCGAUCGGGUCUGGGUGUCCCCGACUCCCACCUCACAUUGCCCGAGACGACAUCUUUGACACGCCUAGAGCUCCAAUUUGGAUCUUCUAAGCUCAGUUUGGUUCAGGUGAGCCAACCUUUAUUAGGUGUCCACUGGGUCUCAGGCCUGUGAAGCUGCCAUUACCCAUCAGCGCCGUGCGCGUGGUAACAGGAGUGCGAGUAAGGCCCAGGCCACGACAGCAGACGGCGCGGUCUCCAGGGUGAGCAGGGGCGUGAUAGAGGGUAGUGUGGGGAGGGAGCUGUCUUCACAGAAGAGGUGACCCCUGUGUUGGGUUUGAGUGAUGGAGAGGAGAUGUACAAAUUCCUGGGAAUAUCCGCCCAAAAGCAUGGAAGCAUCCAUGAGUGCACGUGUCUAGCAGAGGCUGAUACUGUUGGGUACAGAGGCAAAGGGACAGGGCGGGAGCUGAGGGCCAGAAGGUAGCAGGAGCCACACAAGGGCAGGCUCCUGAUGCAAGAAUCGGGAGCCAGGUGGGGUGCCUGGGUGGCUCAGUCAGUUAAGCGUCCAACUCUUGGUUUCGGCUCAGGUCAUGAUCUCAAGUUUUUGAGUUCGAGCCCUGCACUGGGUUCUGUGCUGACAACUUGGAGCCUGCUUGGGAUUCUCUGCCCUCCUUUUUCUCUCUGCCCCUCCCCAGCUCUAUUUAUUUCAGUUAUAAAU